UGGGUAGGGAUGGUAUGAGAUAAGGUGCAUGACAAAUAAAAUAAUCAAGCGAAUGGGCGGAAAGAAGGGUCGAAUGAACUUACUUUUUAUUGGACCAUAAAAGUUGGCUGACUUUUUUGUAGCUUCCGAUUGGUCCGCCGCACAUGCAAAUUCCCUAAUCAAACGCCACAUUCUUUCUUGCACCCACCAAUUCUUUUUUUUUUUUUUUUUUUUUUUUUUGUGGUGGAAAAUCCAGCCUUUAUAAUUUCAAUAUUUUAUAAGGACAAUCCAAGCUUUGAUCUCCCUCCACUCACUUAAAUGACGAAAACAAUCUACAUAAACAUUUGUGUACAAUUUGGUCUUAAUUUGGAAGUAGAGAAAUAUCUAAUUAAAAUACCAAAAGUAGUUAAUGAUGAUCAUAAUUAACAAAGGUUGUUAAUUUAUAUUAUAAUAUUUUAGAUUAGUAGCAAUUCAUUUGAUCUAAAACUCGUGAAGAAUAUUGUAAAAACUUAUGAGUGUAGUGGUUUGGAAUAAUUAUUUUUUUAGAAAAAGUACUGAUUUCGAGUCCAAACAUCUCUGUAGUGUGUGUUAAUUUAAUAUAAAAUUUGAGUUAAUGAUUUCUUCUGACAUGGAAAGAAAAACACCACAAAAUCAAAACAAAGGUUAUUAUUUUUGGCGAGGGUUAUUUUUAUAAAAAAAAAAUUAUCCCCUAGAGGAAAAAAUAAAAAUAAAAACAAUAUAACGCAAUAAAAGAAUAAUAAAUGGUAUGUAAUACCACACCGUAUCUAAUGGUGGGGAGCGAAAUUGCGUCCUCCCCUCAGCUCUGUCCCUUCCAAUUUUCCCUCACUUUCCUACCCCAGCAAAAUUUUCCCGGAAAAUAUGACAGACAAAAAACCCAUCACAAACCCAAAAACCCAUGCUAGAAAUUCCCCAUACACUUCACUUUCUCACUAACCAAACACUCCAAAUCCCCAGACAACACGCACCACCAUCUUCCUCAAAACCCAAGAAAACCCACCCAUCCAUUUCUUCGCUUUUCCACCCUCCCAAAAUAUCUGUACGGACACCAUGACCUGAUAGAAAUCCAAUAGUGUUUUGUAAAUACAGUGAAAUUUAGGAGAACAUAUGGGGGCGUCGCUCUCGAACCUGACGGAGGGGACGAACGGGUUGGGUCAUGGACCGGGUCUUGGAGACAUACCCGAGAGCUGCGUGGCCUGCGUGUUCAUGUACCUGACUCCGCCUGAGAUUUGCAACCUUGCUAGGCUCAACAGGGCUUUUCGUGGUGCGGCGUCGUCUGAUUCUGUUUGGGAAUCCAAGUUGCCCCCAAAUUACCAUGAUCUACUCGAUUUGUUGCCUCCUCAGAUGUACCAGAACCUCUCUAAGAAGGACAUCUUUGCUUUGCUAUCUCGCCCUAUACCCUUCGACGAUGGCAAUAAGGUGAGUUUCUUGGUGUGUAAUUGGGAAUUAGGGUUUUGGGUUGGUUUUCUUGGUGUAAUUUUGCAAUUUAGGGUUUUGGGUUUGGUAUAAUAUGUCUAAACUUGUUCAAUUUUUUAUGCGUUUGGUGGGUUUUGCAGCUGGUAUGGAUAGACAGGGUCACGGGAAGGGUUUGCACUUCGGUUUCCGCGAAGGCCAUGGCCAUCACGGGGAUUGAAGAUCGCCGAUACUGGAACUGGAUUCCCACGGAAGAAUCUAGGUUAGCUAUAAAAGAUCUUACUUUCCAUACUAGUGUGUUCUUUUGAUAUGUAUGGUUUGUUCCCUUUCUUUGAAAAUUUUGAUUCAGCUUAGUAUUCAGUAAAGUUUCUUUCUUUUUUGUUUUUCUUAAAGGUUUUUUUGGCGGUGUGAAAUUUUUAGUGAUAAUUAAGUAGUUAUAUUAAGCAAAUGAGAGGAGGAAUCAGAAACUCUUAAUGAACUAUAUUCUUGCUUGAAAGUUUUUUAGAUCCAUUGUUUAUUACUACACUAUUUUGUUGUCUUUUAGGUUCUUUUUCCUACUCUAAUAAUUCCUUAUGGAAGCUGUUCUGUUAUAAUUACAUCGUUCAUGGCAUAUGUCAGUUGGAAAACAAAGGACUAACUAUUCUAUCUCAUUGCAGUUCUGUAGGUUGGGAGGGUAGUUUAAUAUCACAUUCUUCUAAUGACUACAUGUGGGGUUGAAGAUGUCCUUUUAUUUGGAAUUCUCUAAAUUGAACGAAUUUAUACUUACAAUCCACAUCUUGUAUUUGCUUUAAAAAGUUGCAUACAAAGUCAGAUAAGUAAGUGAUGCCUCUUAUUAUAGUUACUCUUGACAGAGUUUAUGUAAAUCAGGAUCUUCAAGAAAUCAAGGUUAAUCAUGCCAGUAGAAUGUUCCACUUUCUCAAGUUCCCUAUCUUAUCUUUGGAUUCUCUUCAUCCAAAUGUAUCUAGUAAAAUUAUAAACCAUGGUGUUUAGAAAGAGUCUGUGUACUAUAUAAUUUUUUUUUUCUUGGAAUCAAUAGAAAGGCAAAUCUAAUUUAGCCUAUGUUCAACUGAAAAGGGAUAUAUAUAUAUAUAUAUUUUCGUUGUAGAUUACACUGAAUAGUUAUUGAGUUUUUUCUUGCGUUGGGGUUUAUGUCAUCCUAGAUUUUUCUUGUUGCGGAUUCUGAAUUGCCAGUCACUCAUUCGUCCGUAGACAUUACUCAAGACAGUUUCUGAUUUUCAACGCUACUACUCAACAAGAGAGAUUUGCUUAUGCUUUUCCGGGAUUGGCGCUACCGCCUUUGAUCUCAUUAUUUUGUAAUUGAUUUCAUCAAUUUACGUUCAUGAGAUCCUCAUUUGGGUCAGUUAUCAUAUUGAACCAUUGUUGCCAAGUUAUGCCAGCUUGGUGUUAAUUCAUUAUUUUUCCUUCACUUUUGCUUAGUAUGAUGAUGCAUUAUAUCUUUCAAAUCUUGAUCAUCUGCGUGUUGCUGUUUGUUUGCAGGUUUCAUGUGGUGGCUUAUUUACAGCAAAUAUGGUGGUUCGAAGUGGAUGGGGUGGUGAAGUUCCCUUUUCCUGCUGAUAUCUAUACUCUUUCUUUCAGGCUUCACAUUGGAAGAUUUUCAAAAAGAUUGGGACGGCGUGUUUGCAAUUUUGAGCACACCCAUGGUUGGGAUAUAAAGCCAGUACGAUUUGAGUUAUCAACUUCAGAUGGACAGCAAGCAUCAUACGAAUGCUGCUUGGAUCAAAUCGAACACGAUGAUGCAUAUGGAAAUCAUAAGCGCGGGUGCUGGGUUGACUACAAGGUUGGUGAAUUUACCGUCACCGAUUCAGAUCCUGUAACUGAAGUUAGAUUUUCCAUGAAGCAGAUCGAUUGCACUCAUUCCAAAGGUGGGCUAUGUGUGGAUUCUGUUUUUAUUGUCCCCAGUGACUUGAAAGGGCGGAAAAGGAUAGGAGUUUUGAAGUAGCCAUAUGCUGAACAGGGAAGUUUAUUCACAUCAGUGAUCCCACAAGAAUGAAGCUGGGAUUUAUGAUACAGCUUAUACUUCUAAAGGCAUAAGAUGUUUUAGAGGAUGUCAUCUUAUUUGGUUUUUGUGGUAGGUGUGUGUCCUCUAUGGUUGUGUAACUUCACUUUGAUGUAUUUGAUCCAGUUUUGUUCCAUUUUAUACCUCUUCAGAUUAGAUUAAGUGAAUAUACUUUGACAUUACCUUGUUUGUAUCAGUUGCUCACUGUAAAGCAUUUUGUAACUUAGAUGUGAUGUCAAUCAACACUGUUUCUUCAUUGGUUACAUAGAUCAUGCUUAGAUUUUUGGAAAUCUUGGAUGGUCACAGGACAUGGCCUCUCUCUCUCUCACUCUCUGGUUAAUGAAUGUUUGUGUUAUUGUCUGAGGUCAGUUUUUUAAGUAAAAGUGAAUUGAUCCUUUGAGAAUUUGUAAUUUCGAUGGAAAGACAGCUUAUCCCAUGGUGUCUCCGUCUCCCGACAGAUUUUGUGUGACUCUGUAUUUGAUUUCGUAUGAGAUGUCUCUUAGCUUGUGAAAUACGGGAUCUCUCUGUACUGGUCCUUGAAUAAUUUUUAUUCAUGUUGUCAGUGGGCUAGCCCAGAAUCUUACCUCUUAAUCCCGCGUUUUCUCCUCUCCUCUUUUUGUUUUAUAAUGAUGGUGAUUUGAGGACCAGCCCCUUGGUCCCAUUUUUCAAUUUGGACUGAAUCCUGUGUCUUUCUACUGUUUCAAUCUAAGUCUAAAGUUACUUUUCAAACUAAAUGAAUUGGAAUUGGAAAAACUCUUAAACAGAAGUUAGAGCAAAACAGAGAAGCGUUCACAGUUUCACCUAUGGGACUUUAAAUGAGGGACAGGUGAGCAUUUCUAUCAAGAUUGUUUCUUUUAAUUUUCUCAACCUCUUCUGUUCUGGCAAACUGAAAUUCAUACCCUCUCUCUCUCUCUGUGGAAUUUGUAAUUAUUUUUGCAAUUUUGUACAGCAUAUGUGAGGCCAAUUGUAGUUUCUAGGCUGGGUUGGGCUGCUUGCAGUCUACAAUUAAAAUUAUUAGUAUAUAUUCAUUAUUUGAUUGGGUUGAUUGGUGAAUGAGUUCUGAAGGGUUGGUGAAUUAUCAUUUUGAUUUACAUAAUUCUACAAUUUUUGUACUGUCUCCCAGUCUCUCUCCUCUAAAUAACAUUUAGCUUAUUAAUUUCUCUCUGCUAAAACCUAAAAAUUACUUCUCAAAAUAUGUAUUUUUGGGUUUACUUUUCUUGCAAAUCGCCUCCCAUUUUGUCUCCUUCAUUGUAAUUCCUGCAGAUGCAGAUAUAAACGUUUGGAUGAUCUAUCUCUGUCCGAAUAUAUUUAGUCAUCGGAUGAGCAGUAAACCACCUGGUUAUCUGUAAUUUACUAUGCCAUUAAACUGCCACACCCUGAUUAAGAGUAUUUCUCUCAAAUCAUUUGCCUUCCUUGGUUUUGUAUAAAGAUACAAAUCAAGGCUAAUCAGCACUUAAUAAAUACAAGAUUAAGUCCACUAAUCAGGUACUGGGUUUUCUUCUUGAAGUCACUUGAAUUUUCUAUCUCUGGUGGUCCACAUUAAAAAAAAAGUUGCAUACUUUUCUUCCAGCUUGCAUUAAAACACUGCAGUAUUAAUGUUAACAAAAAAAAAGCUGUGCAUGGCCUGUAAAAUAUAGAGUAGUAAAUUGAACUUUGGCAUCUUGCUAGCUAGACCCCUGUUCCUCAUCCGGCGCUGCUUAUGGUGUCCUUGAGCAGCCAUAUCAGAUGAACUAAUUCUUAUGGACCAAAACAUAGACUUGUUCAGCAAAUGGAUUUACAAAACUAAAGAGAAGAUCUAAUUAUAGAAAAGAAAAGGUAAAAAGUCACUUUCAGUCCCUAUAGUUUAACGAAAUUUCUACUUCAGGUCCUGCGGUUUUAAUUCUGGCAAUUUGACCUAUGUAGUUUGAUUUUAUUGCAAUUUAAGGACUCCAAUUUCUUGACGGAAUAAACUCGUGUCUCUUACGUGGAGGGGUAUUUUGGAUAGAGAUUUAGGUAUGUUCUUGAAUUGCAAUAGAAUCAAACUACAUGGGUUAAAUUGACAAAAUUAAAACUAUAGAGACUAAAACAGAAAAAUCGGCAAACUACUGGGACCAAAAUAAAAUUAGCAAGCUCAAUUUGGACCACUAAUAUUUUCUAAGUUGUUGUUCUAUAUAUGAAAACCUAGAAAAGACUUUAAUUAUGGGCAGCCGUUUAGCUAGCUACAUGUCUGCCAAGCCAAUAUAUACAUGGUAAAGAAGGACCACUACACCAGUUUCAAAUGGUCAUUUAACCAAAGUAGUAACCUUCAUCAUCUGCCUUCCUCUUUCCGUAUUGGGUUACAUGUGCCAUGUGUUGCAACAGUACAUUGCUCUGAACAAACUUCUAUUAUGGUGAUCAAGUUCUUAACUUGGUUAAUGAGAGAUUCUGUAUGUGAAUGCGUCUAAAGUUUGAUUUGGAGCUUUAUACCAGAUUGGUUGUCACUUGCGAACUUGAUGCUGCACCAAAAUACACUUAUUUACUCUCUUUUUUAAGGAAAAAAUUAAAUAAAAAAACUUGAUCCAGUCUUCAUAUUGUCCUUUUUAAUUAGGGUUUACUUAAACUUGAUCCAGUCUUUAUACUUUAGACUAGCUGGUCUUAACAUGAAAUUAGUGGUUGAACUUAAUGUCUUUACUUAAACAGAUUAGAAGUCUAAUAACAUGGUUGAAGACAGAUUAAUCUCCACAUUGCUAUGAAGUUCUCUUCAUGUUCCUAAGGCUGUAUAAAUUUAAUGCCACAACGACAAUCGGUGUGAGAUAAUCACUAGAACGAGAGGUUUCAAACUCUAAAACUUAUCUAAUUAACGUAAGCUCGGAUAUCAUGUUAGACAACUACUUCCUUCAUCUUUGAAAUAAUUAUAAAAUUAAUGAUUCAACAAAAGUAAAUCAAACUAUGUAAAGUAAAGGAUUGAUUGAAAACUAAAGGGUGAUAGAAAAUAAGUACAAGUUUUUUGUUUUUCCUGGGUGAGUAAAAGGUACACUACUGUACGAGUUAGAGGAAAAAAGCCAAAAUGAAGGCUGGUCAGUUGGACUACAGGGAUCUGCAAUGGGACCAUAUAGUUCUUAAUUGCUUCCAAGAUAUAAUCAAUCUAUUUGCAGAGAUGAAAAAAGGUCUUCCCCUACGUAAGCAACAAAGAGUGACUCUUUUUUCUCAAGAAAAUGAAACCGAAGAAAAACUGUUGUUCCAUUGGAAUUGGAUAAAAUGGUGUUUGAGUGAAAAUUGUUAGUGAUGAGCCAAUAAAUAUUCCUUGUUUAUGUUCCAAUGUAGAAGACAAGCUCAUGAACAAGCUCCUGAAAAAGAGAGAACUUUCAUUUCAGGGGCAUAGUGAAAAUGUCAAUCCAAACAGAAGAAUUUAAUGCACUCUUGAGAAAGGGCUAGGGUUCGAAUCUUGCACGAGAAAAAACAAUUUAGAUUUAUCAUAGUGUAGUUUUAGCUGAUUAUGUGUACCUAGAAAAUUAAACACAAGAAACACCAACUUUUUUCUUAACUUUCUAGCAUGAUGUAAGAUAUUUUAUAUAAUGAGACCGUCCGUUCUUUGUGAGAGAGUUGGGAAAAAACAGAAGACAUGUGUAACAUAUACUAGUAUUUUUUUUCUCUUUAAACCCUAAACCAUAAGCUCUAAACCCUGAAUAUAAGAGUGGAUCAUGGAUUAGCCAAAAAAGAUUAAUUUUCGGGUUUAGUUUAAAUGCAAUAAGAUUUUUCGAGAAAUUUGAAUUUUUAUUUUUGUAAAGGACCUUUAUUCCUACCAAGAAAAGCCAGUGGUGUGGUGGUCAAACCAUGCACAUCUCACAAGUCACCAGAUAAAUGAGUUGCAAUUUUUUUAGUUUGCACUCUCCCAUCCCAUGUGUGUAAAAAGCUUUCAAAAACUCAAAAUUCAUAUGAAGCUCUUGGGGUUGAAUAUGAGGUGUUAUUGUCACAAGUGCAGAAAAAAUAACCUUUAAUUAAUGCACAAGAGAAGAAGAAGAAUUGAUAUGAAGGAGAGGGUUUGGGAGGACCGCUGCCUCAUCCAUCUCUUUCAUCAAUUUGGCUUCAAUGCAUAUGCGGCAAUGCCAUUGUCUUACCGUUAUCUCUCUUUCACGUUUUUUUUUGGGUUUUUGGAGAAAAAGACAACCUUCACAUGAAACCAGCACACACUCUUAGAAUAGGCCUGCCGCGGCCCCCCCUAAAAAUUCAAUUAAAAUCCAACAAUGCCAACCCAAAUCCAACAUCCACACACCAGCAUAUAUGAAUGAAUGAAUAUUUAAGAGAGAGAGGAGGGUUUUGCAGCUUUUUAUUGGUCUGCUGCUAUGUUGCAGCUUAAUUAAGGUGGGGGGCUGAGAGAGAGAGAGAAAGAGAGAGAGAGAGAGGGUGAAAUACUAGGGUGAGCCCAAAACUUCUUUUCAUCUUCUACCUUUAUUUGUCCGUUUAUUGAUGCAGAGGAGGAGGUGGCAGGGUGCUGGAGUGUACAUGUAUGUACUCAUUUUGUGCCACUCUUCAGGGGGCCACACGCGUCUCUUCCUUUGUUGCAUGCUGGCGAGGACCUCACCUAUACUUGAAUCUUGUCGUAUGAACAGUGUUUACAUAUACUGUACGUAUAGACGCACAUGCAAUUUGUGUCUCUAGGUUGAGAUGUUAUGUUAUUCAGUGUUUAAUAUCACAGUCCUAUUUAGGGAGAAAAAUUUACACAUUUCAAAGUAAUGAGAUCAUUGGGAUGGUCAUCGAGUGUUGUAGAUAUAAUUGUCUCAUUGUUUCGUUAUUUUUAUCAUUAAAUUCAUUGAUUAGAUAAAAUCUUAUUACAACAAAUAACUUUAAUCCAUAAUUUAAAAAUAAUGAUUAACAUAUUGGAUAUAUGCAACAUGGUUACUCUUUUCAUUCAACAACGCAACGAAAUCACUUCUAUAAUAGUUGAAUCUAAUUAGGAUUUUCUCUAACAAUACCGAGAUUUAUUAAAAUUACUAGACAAAAUGGUCAUUGACAUUAGAAAAAAUUAUGUGAAGUUGUUCCUGUCACGUGAAAAUGCUAAGUAGAAAAAUAAUUUAGUUAAGAAAUUUUAUUUGGACUAUUCAAUCACGGGCCAUAAACAUCCACAACAUAAGUUUUUCUCNNNNNNNNNNNNNNNNNNNNNNNNNNNNNNNNNNNNNNNNNNNNNNNNNNNNNNNNNNNNNNNNNNNNNNNNNNNNNNNNNNNNNNNNNNNNNNNNNNNNUUUCCUGUUAUGGUUUUGCUUUUUAUGUGCUCUCAGCAAGAAUCAUGAAAAAGAAGCAUGGCUACCUUCUACUUUAACUAGAAGCACCACCAUUGACUAUUAUUGUACAGCUUAAUUUUUUAUGUUCUACACUUUCCACUUCAAGCAAUUAUAUAUAUAAAUUCCUCCCUGCUUUCUUGGAGAAGUCACACUUCAGUCAUUUUGAGGUCAAACUACACAAAAUAUGCAAGUUCACAUAUAUAAAAACAGUGAAAUUAUAAUUUGUUGGGUUUUAAUUAAUUUUUUCAGGGAUGGAGAUGAAGCAUCAAGCAAUGAUGUCUGAGAGCUCACAAGGCUUGGUUCCUGGACUGGACAGGAACCACAGCAGUUAUGGGUGCUCUAACCAAGACAAGAAGAAGAGAUUGUCAACUGAUCAGUUAGACUCACUUGAGAGGAGCUUUCAAGAGGAGAUAAAGCUGGACCCUGAUAGGAAGAUGAAGCUUUCAAGAGAGCUUGGCCUUCAGCCUAGGCAAAUUGCUGUUUGGUUCCAAAACAGAAGAGCCAGGUGGAAGGCCAAGCAGCUUGAGCGCUUGUAUGAUGCUCUUAAACAAGAGUAUGAUGUGGUCUCCAAAGAGAAGCAAAAGCUCCAAGAAGAGGUAAUAAUGCAUUGAUUAAGUAAUUGGCAUACAUUAACUAUAAAGCUUCUUUCCUUUAUUAACUAAUUACAUGCAACCCAUGCAUUUUUUUUUUCUCUCUCUCUCUCUCUCCCCCUAGAAAAUAGAGCUGAAAACCCAUUGUGAAUUUUUAUAAAGGAAAUUCAAUAAAAAUUGUCUCACAUUUACCGACCGUAGUGAGUUGACAAGUCAACUAAAAAUGUACUCUAUUAAUUAAGUGCGCUGUAUAUGGUGAUAUAGGUCAUGAAAUUGAAGACAAUUCUGAGAGAUGAAGUUGCUAGGAAACAAGUUUCCACCGGCUACACUGAAAUCUCCGGUGAAGAGACGGUGGAGAGCACGUCGGUCGCCAUUCGGAGCUCUAACAAAGGGGGAGGGACGAGCCAACAUCAGGUGGCAGAGUGCAACUACCUCUUCAAUGUUGAGGAAUAUAACCCAGUAUCGCCACCUUUCUGGGGAGCUCUGCCUUCUUAUCCCUAAGCUAAGAGGCUGUUGUUGUUGUUGUUGAAGUUACUUAUAACUUUAAUUUUCUCAGGGUUCUGCUUUAGUUAUUAGCUUAGUUUGAGGAACUAGUACUUUACUUUCUUCUGGCUCUCUGGCUCGGUACUAAAUUAGAGAAUUGACAUUACAUUCACCCAAGUGGACCUAAUGAUCAGCAUGACAUUUAUUAACUUUGCCCACUUCUAUAUUGUUAUUGGCAAAUUCAUCAUCUUUUUCAUCACUUCCCUCAAAUCUUUUUUUUUAAAAAAUUUUUUAAAAUUUUGUUUUUGGGGCUUUUGGGUGCAUGUCUCUUCCUUUUGGGUAACAUCCAGUUCGCGUUCUACUUUUAUACAUGCUGCCUAAAAGGUGUUGGUCGGGUGCAUGGUGAAUGUUGUUGAAUCAACAGCCAAGCUUGGACAAGCCCAAGCAAGUACAGUGUUUUUUUCUUUCUUUUUUAUGAACUUGGAUCAGACCUUUUAGCGAAGGGUCUAGUAAACCAACUCUUACUUUAUCUCUCCCAACCAAAAAAAAAAAAAUUAAAGUAAAGCAAAGCAUAGAAUAAAACUUAGGAAUUUUGGUUUAUUUCGUCACAUGGAAUUUUGAUUGCAUCCGAGAUCAUAUGUUCAAUUCCCGCUCCCCUUAUUGGAUUAGUCCCACCAUAUGAACUCAAAUCUCAAAACAUUUCCCGUUGCAUAUAAAUUGCCAUCAACCUAUUAAGCUGGUGAGACUUGUCAGAAUCGGAGCCAAGAGCUUGAAAAUGGUCCUUAUUUAAAACUUCUAAAAUUUGACAAAGUUACGAAUUCCUGAAAAUGUCUUCACCCUCACUUCUUCACCAAAUGAAAAAGAACAAAUUCAAAACGGCUCCAUCUCGCUGCCUUCGAGCUCCCAUAGUGAUUCGUUGGCUUCGAGCUCUCAUAGGGACAGACAAAGAAUGCUCUUGAAUUUGGGCCUUUUUGAGUUUGGGCUAUUGUUAGAUCUAUUGCCAUGUGACGAAAUAAACCAAAUUGCGUGAAACAAAAACCAGAUUUAUCCUGACCUAAAGUAAGUUACAGGAUUUUGCAGGCAAGUUUGAGGGACAAAGGCUGGGCCAAAAAGGCCCCUAAACUGAAAAGCUCGGUUGCCCAUCCAUUACCUAUUAACCAUAGGAGAAAAACGUUGUUCUGAAUCUUAAUGCAAAAAGGAAAAAGUUGCUUAAGCUGAAGCUGAAAUAUCAAGUUAAAAUCCAACAGAAUAACUAUUUGAAACUUAGUAAUAUCGAAGUGACAGAUAUAAGAUAGAUAAAAGAAAAAUACGAAUGGACCAUCAAGCAUGGCCAAUCAAUCCUUACAAAAUCUUCAAACAAACAAACACGUCCUAUCUAUUACUCUACUUCCCAACAAGUAGGCAACAGAACAGUGGCUCAGCGCUUGCCACCGCCACCCCCAAGCUUUGGUCCCUUUGGUUGUGCACCUCCCCUGGUAACGCUACCCUUGCCUUGAGAUUUUUGGGAUUUUGUAACUUCUGCCUUCUUGGCCUUCUUUUCAUCCUUGGUUUUCUUGAUCCUCUCCUUGAUUUCACUACAGAACAUAUCCAGACAUCAAGUCAACGAUUCCAUAUCAUGAUCGUAGAAGCAAUCAUGAAAUUUAAAGCUGAAAUAACAUUAACAUAAAAGGUUGACAUAAUAGAGUGAAUCAGGGUCAAAGGUAUAGAUAAGAACACAAACCGGAGAGCAGCUUCCCUUGCAGCAUCACGAACCUCGGGCUUCUCAGUUCUCCUCUUCUGGAUAACCUCAAGUGUAGCACCCACAAUAGACCUUGAGUAAGGCUUCUUGGUGGUACGUCUCCUCUUCUUCACAGCUUCUUGAGCAAUAUCCUGAGUGUGUCAAGAUUACAUAAAUAAGUAAUACAAAUACAAAAACAGACUGCCGGCUACUUCAUAUAAAUAGAAUGGCUACUACAGGACAAGGUUGCAGUGCUGAAUUCCUUAAAAAAAAAUUAAUUGCAUUUGCAAUAUAACAAAUGUAUGAUGAAAAGAGAUUAUCAAAACCUAUCGAUUACCAAAAUGGGCUUCAAGACAUCUAAUCCAACUACUUAAGUAACCUUAAAACUAAAAGAAUAAAAAUUGGAAUAAUGGAAUCAUAUAAUUUAUACAUCAAACAAAAAUGCAAGUUCACCUUUUUGUGCUGCUUCCUGUACAUGGCUGUCCAGGUAAGCUUUGAUGGCUUCAACCUGUUGUGGAAGUACCUUUUGCAUUUUGAGUUGGCAAACAGGAAGACCUGACAGAACACACCACAGAUUAUUUACAAGAUACAAUGCCUUUCCAACAAAACAAUUUAAUCAUAUAAACUGAGAUGACGGAACUUAAAACAAAUGUUUGAUUUUACAGUUUACCUGAGAAUCAGAACGAAUAAAUCUGAUGCCCUUUCCUGGGUAAAUCUUGGCCCCGCUAAAACGACAGAGUUCGGUCCUGACAAGCCAAAAACAUUUUUUUAUAAGCAACCCACAAUACUAGUACUAUAAAUGAUCAAUUGAAACAGAUUUAUGCUAUCAAACAGAACCACAAAAGUAGCCAAGAGAGGGAAGAGGGACCCCUCAACCUGAAAACCUAAACCAUUCACAUAAUGACCUAACAAAGAAGACUUAACAUAAUGACUGUUCCACAUAGAUUCAAGCCAAGACAUCCAGAAAGUUUUACCAUUUUCCAGAGACUAGAUGCUACAAUUACCAAGUUACCCAGAUUUAAGAAAAUUGUAAAAACCAACCAGUCGAAAGGGAACUGGAUUUAGUGGUAUCCGUAACUCGUGUGAACCAUGAAAUGGCAACCAUUUCAACACGAUUACCGUAUCUUAAUAUAAACAGUAGCUAAAAAUACUACAUUUUCACAGAUUUAAUUAGUCAAAACUCAGAACUUAUUGUUGGGUGUUCAUCAAUCAUUAACAAACUCUACCCAGCUUGUUUCUACCAAUAUUGCACAUACAUUUUUAAUUAGCAAAAAUCAAUUUUCACCCAGAAAAGCAUAUACACACAAAUCAGAGCAGGGAAACAGUUUAUCGCCCAAGCACGCUAAAAUGGCAUAUUAGAAAACAGAAGCCAAAUUUAUAAAUUAAAAAAAGGAAAAGGAAAACGACUGCAUCGACAAUCGAGCAUCAUCAACAAAGAGGAUUCUUAAUCGGAAAAAUUAGAACGAUAAUGAAACCAUUUCAGCAUCAGAUCUCAACGAGACAUGUAGAGAGGGAGGGAGAGAGCGAGAGAGCGAGAGAGAGAAAGACGCAUACUUGAGAACCAUGGCUGCUGCCUCCUGCUCCUGCUGUUGUCGACUGCUGCUCUUCUUGUUGUGGCGGAAACCCUAGAAGCUGAAUGCUUAUAACGCGGGUAUGUAUAUCAGGCUUCUUAAUAAAUAACCCUUAUAUCCCAUGAAAAACCACGAAAAUGCCACUCAGAUUGGACCCGUUCUAUUUUGGUGUAUUUUCGGCCCAGGACUUUAGAUUACAUUUCCCCAGUACAAUGUUUGAGAUGGGCCACAAAAAUAUUUGGGCUUGUCACAUCAAGUAUAGUUUCCUUUACCUAAAUUCAGUAACCAUAAUUGUCUUAAAAUAGUAAGUUUGUAAUGACAUAAAAGAAAUGUCAAAGGUAUAGAAUAAUUUUAUACCUCAGUACUCAUCUCAACUCCACCCAGUUAUCUUGAAUGGAGCAUUUUUCUCACCACACUUGACACGUGUCUAUUGAUAUAAUUAUGGUUUCAUAAAUUUAAAGUAAAAAGUUAACUAUGGUUAUGUCAAUGGACACAUGUCAAGUGUUGAAAUGAUGUUAAGAGUACAUAUUGAGUUAAAGUGGUAAGCAAAAAUAUUUCCUUAUCUUGAAUCCAUGAAAGAAAAAACACCAAUUCGAACUUAGCACAACAUUUUAUAUAUUAUACUUUUUAUGUAUGUGGUACAUUACGUUAUCAUAGUUACUAAAUAAGGACUUUGUAACUCAAGUGGUUAAGAAUAUUUAACCAUGCAUCUGAGAUCCUAUGUUCGAUUCCCCCUCUAAUAUCGCUUGUAUAAAAAAAAUGAACUACUAAUUAGGUGGAGUUUUAUUUACAUAUAUGAUUUAAAUUCAACAUUUGGAACACAUAAUAUCUCAAAUAUAUCUAGUAAGAAAUCAUUAGCUUGUGACAACUAUGUAAUUUUAAAGGGUUGGCAUAGACAUGGUAAUGCCUUUGUGUUUUAGGGUGGUAUAUAACAGUCACUAUACCUAUAUAUAUAUACAUGAUGUUUGUCAAUUUGUAUAUAUUAUUAUAGAAGGUCAAUUUGUAACUAUAAUAAAUGUUACAUACAGCCAAAUAAUGCAAUAUGCUCUAGAGUUGGUUGGAAACUUGGGAUUGACUUCUAUACUAAAGAUAGGAUAUUAAAAAUCUUUUUUUUUGUCCAAUUACUAUUCAGGAUAUUUGAAAGAGAACUUGAUAUGAUCAUUAGUUUUUCAUUUUAUAUUUAUGAAAAAAGAAAAAGAAAAAAAAAAGGUAGCACAGCACAGAUGAGUGAGAUGGAUCAUUAGCUUGUUAAUAAUGAGGAGGAGGAUGAUGACACCUCACUGAACCUCAAGAAGAUGAAGAAGAAGAUAUCCAAAACCCAUUUUCAUAUUUUUCUUGGUUUUUACUUGGAAACCCCCUAACCCCACCACUCCAAGACAAAACUGUGAAAGAAGAUGACUAACAAAUACACAUAUUUCUUUGCUUCUCAGUUUCUCAGGCUCCCUUCUUGACUCAGUAACCAAGAUAACGCCUUUUUUAUAUAUAAAUAAAUAUAUUUCAAAUUUCACCAAUACCCAAAUCACAAUUUCCAAUUGGGAACCCGAAAACCCUAGAAAGAUCGGAUUUUGAAGUGGAUCUGUUGGGGAAGAAGAGGAGGAUGGGGGAUAAUCAGGACGACGAUCGGAGCCAGAGCAGCGACUACACGUCGGAGGACGAAGGCACCGAAGACUACAGGCGAGGAGGCUACCACGCUGUUCGAAUCGGCGACACUUUCAAGAGCGGACGGUAUGUCGUUCAGACGAAGCUCGGUUGGGGCCAUUUCUCCACCGUCUGGCUCGCUUGGGACACCCACCACUCUGUACUUAUCUCACCCUGUCUUCUCUUUUUUCUUUGCUGAUACUUCGUUUUUAUUGCGUUUUUUGAUAUGCUGUUGUAUCAUUGUAUGAUGAGUUUGAAAAUGUAAGAAAAGGAAUGGAAAAUUUUAAUCAAAUUUUUAAUCCACCAUAUUGGUUAAUGCAAAACAUAAAACAUCAUAUUUGGUUUCUUUAAUUUUUCACAUGUUUAGUUUUAACUUUUAAGUUACUCAAUGGAGGAUUAAUGAAAAUGUGUUGGUUUUUUUGGGUGUCUGCCAAUUGUACAAAAACCAGCGUUAUGUUGCUCUGAAAGUGCAAAAGAGUGCUGACCACUACACUGAGGCGGCAAUGGAUGAGAUAACCAUCUUGAAACAGAUUGCAGAGGGGGACACAGAUGAUAAAAAAUGUGUAGUGAAGCUUCUGGACCAUUUUAAGCAUUCGGGUCCGAAUGGACAACAUGUUUGUAUGGUUUUUGAGUACUUGGGUGAUAAUCUGUUGACACUUAUUAAGUAUAGUGAUUACCGCGGGGUACCACUCCAUAUGGUUAAGGAGAUUUGUUAUCAUGUUUUGGUUGGAUUGGAUUACUUGCAUAGACAGCUCUCGAUUAUACACACUGAUUUGAAGCCGGAGAACAUAUUGUUGUUGUCAACGAUAGACCCUUUCAAGGAUCCGAGAAAGUCAAGCGCGCCUCUUAUUCUUUCAAGCAGUAAGGACAAGGAUGCAUCGGAGUCAGGGUUUGCAAAGGCAUUGAAUGGGGAUUUGAGUAGGAACCAGAAGAAAAAGAUUAGAAGAAAGGCUAAACGAGCAGCCCAAGGAUGUGUGGAUAGAGACGAAGCUGAUGCUGAUCUAGAAACAUCCACCGAAGUAGAGUCAUCUCCUAAUACAAAAUUGAAUGUGCAUUCCGGCGAAAAUCAGGCUACUAGUUCUGUCAGUAUGAGUAGAUCAUCAGAUGCUGAUGGACCAAAGGGCACUCGCCCAGGAAGUCAGGGUAGUAAGAGAGGGAAUCGCACCACAAGGCAGAAGUUGUUGGCAUCAAUUGACCUGAAGUGCAAAUUGGUUGACUUUGGGAAUGCAUGUUGGACGUACAAACAGUUCACAAACGAUAUCCAAACAAGACAGUAUAGGUGUCCAGAGGUGAUCCUUGGCUCAAAGUAUUCUACCUCAGCAGAUCUUUGGUCUUUUGCUUGUAUUUGUUUCGAGCUUGCAACUGGUGAUGUACUCUUUGAUCCCCACAGUGGCGACAACUUUGACAGGGAUGAGGUAUGGAUGUAUAAAACCCUAGUUCGGUUGUGUUGUUUUCUUUAUUGCAUAUGGUACUCUCGAAUCCACAUUAGUUUUUCCCUUUGGUAACACUCACACAAUGAAAGUUUCAUAUGAUGUCAAUUCCAUUAAGACAUACAAUAGAAUCUUCAUGUCUAUAAAUGACAAGUCAAUUUCUACCACUGUCCACCGUUAGAAGGACUGACCAUAAUAGUUCUUCAGUAUGCUCCCUAAUACUGAUAGAUCAGAAUAGUUUUGUGCUGUUCAUUUUAAUAUUUUUCUUUAAAUGCUUUGGUUUAGCGUGAGUCCUGAGGCAUGUAAAUUGACGGAAUGAUGCUUUGAAAUUGACUUCUUUCAAUCAUCUCAAGCAUUUAAACCUGGGAAGUUUUUAUUAUUUUCUAUUUUUAAAAUUACUGGAGUAAAUCUUAUAUUGAUAUAUUGCAGGACCACUUAGCAUUGAUGAUGGAGCUUCUUGGAAUGAUGCCACGGAAGGUGAGAAAUCUGUAAACCCUACCAUUAAAAUUAAACUGAACUUCAUCCAACUUAAAUUCCGGUCAACUAUUUUCCAGAUUGCUUUAGGUGGUCGAUAUUCCCGAGAUUACUUUAAUAGAUAUGGUGAUUUGAGGCACAUCCGUCGCUUGCGUUUUUGGCCCCUGAAUAAGGUUCUCGUAGAAAAGUAUGAAUUCAGCGAGCAAGAUGCAAGUGACUUAACUGACUUCCUUGUUCCCAUCCUCGACUUUGUCCCUGAGAAACGGCCUACUGCUGCACAAUGCCUUCUUCAUCCAUGGAUUAAUGCAGGUUCUCGACUAUUGGAACCAUCUAUGGCUUCUGAUAAGAAACAAGGCAUGGACCAUGACACGACUGAAAAGAACAAGAGGGAAAAAGAUGAGAGGGAGGCAAUGGAGGCUGGAGUGGAAAAUAUUGCCAUUAAUUCCGAUUCUAAACCUGUCAAAGACCUCCCAUCUAGUAGUAAACCCUCCAAGGCAGCCGUAAGUAGUUCAUCCAGGUAGAAUCCUAGGAUAAUUUUUGUCUACGGAAUAUGCCUCUUCAUCAGUUUUCUUGUUGGGCUCUGAGAUUGCUUCGAUUGGCUUGACUUACAAAUUUAUUUUGCGGGAUUGCUUCUAAUGCUGGCAAACUUCAGCAUAAGGAAGUUUGAUGCUCCGGUUACAAGUGAACCUUCUUUCAAGCGCAAUUGGCAAACACUGUACACUUCUCCUACAACCAGCUCGUCUGUGAAAAUGUUCAUUUCAAUGUGAUUCAUGUACUGAACUCCAAUCGUGAUAUUGGUACUCUUGAAACACUAAAUCACAUAAUGUUAUUUUUAUUUUUAUUUUUAUUUUUGAGGCCUUCUUUUAUUGUUAAGAUUCGAAAUCUGAGAACCUUCAGAAAAUGCGCUAAUACAAAUUAGUAAAAUUUCAAUGGUUUAACAAAUUAUAUUUGGAGAGGAUAACGAUUUUGGCGCUCAUUUUUUAGUCAUAUGCACUACAAACUGAAUAUUUUAUAGAAUUUAUGCACUCUUGAAAUCAUUAACCUUUUGAGAAUACGAAGUAGAUUUUAAGACUACCAUAAUUUGAAAACUCGUUUUCAGAUUAUUAUCAGCCAAAUCAAACAGGCAUGACAACAAAAAUCAAGGCGGUCGACAGUUAACUAUAUAUUAGAUAUAGAUCACAUAAUGUUGGGGUCUCCAUGGGGGCUGGUGGGAGAUUCUUGCCGUCCCAUACGUUCUUAUUAUUCUUUGCCACACAAUCAAUCACAAACACUUGAAAUACAAAACUAAAUGUUGGUCUCCAUUUGUUGUUGGGGUGGUGGGAGUCUCUCUCUCCCUCAUUCUCAAGUCGUGCAAAACAUUCCAACCCCCCAAUAUCCCAUGUGAUGUGAGACAAAAACAAAAAGCUCAAAACCAUGCACGAGGCAACAUAUGUUCAAAUAUUGGCCACAUGUGCUCUUCAUCAUGAUGAUCCUCCCAAGAAAAGAAAUUCCACUUACAGAGAAAGAAGCCCUUUUGUGGUCAAAGUUGCAGAUACAGUCAAUUUAUGCAGCAUGGCAGCCAAAGCCAUAAUAUUAUAUGGGAAAUUAUUGAUUUUCUUGAACUUUUUAGUGUAAACAAUUGGGAGGAGGUCUUCUUGGAGGCAAUCCCAAAUUAUCAAUUUUGAAAAUCAUUCGGCAACUUUCCAAUGCUAUAAAAAUUAAGAAUCAAACCAAUAUUAUAUGGAAUAAUAGAUGAGAGGAAUCCAAAUUCUGUAAACACUACAUGAGGUCGGUUGAUGAUGGUGUUAGCCAGUAGCUAACAUGCCCCCAUAACCCUACAUAAAUGCACACUUAUUUCAUGAGUUGUUAGCCAGUAGCUAACAAGCAACUUAAUCUAAACCAGAGACAAGGCCACACUUUGGUUCAUGUGUUAGCCAGGAGCUAACGAGCAAAACCAAACCUAAACCAGAGACAAAGCACCACAAGGGGUUCAUGUGUUAGCCAGGAGCUAACAAGCAAGCCACCAGAGAGACAAGGCACACUUGUUUUUAACACAACGAUGUUGACUGGGGUUGGUCAACUAGCUGUUGGCCAACAGUUCCUAAUGAUCUUCAUAAUAUACAAACUUCCAAUUGCAAACUUUCCCAUUGCAUUUUAUUGGAACCUUUUAUCUUUUCGCUAUCGUUCUGUAUUGUUGCCAGCGAUCACUGACUGCUACAGAAGUCUAAGAAUCCCAUGAAUUCUUGAUUUUGUAUCAUUUGGAUGCUCGUUUCUAUGCCGAUCACACCUGAAAAAAAAAAUCCCCAGAAAUAAGAAACCAAGACACGGAUGAUAAAACUUCGUUUUCGAGUAACUGGGAACAUGAUUUCAGGUCUGAAAAAAAAGUUUGUUUUACCCAUUGUAAUAGCGCUAGCAAAGAUGACACCAGAGAGGAUGAACACAAUGAUUGAUGCUCUCUUGAGAAUUGUAACUACUUUUCUUACAAGGCACUGUCCCCAGAAGCCAGCCAAGACAGACACACUUGUGAGGUAUAAAGCUGCAAAAGGAAUUCACAUUGGAAGAAGAAAAAAAAUUAAUUUCUUGUGAUCAUCAAAUGAAAUGUAUCAUAAAUAGGCUGCUAACUGAAUUAGAAAAGGAGACCAGAAAGGAAAGCUAUACCAUAUGGAAUAGGAAACCUCUUGAGCAGGUAGAACUCCACCACCGAUAAGGACGCGGAGAAUGUCAUCACGAAUGUAGCUGUUGCACUUGCAACCUGUUCAUGGUAGCAGCAAGAUGGUUACUCCAACUUAGAUUUUUUAAGAAACUUUACUUGUAGUUUCAUGAAGCUCAAUGUUUUGCGUUGAAAGUACUUGAACUUUACAAGGUAGGUUCUCACCUGAGGGAUAACGCCUAUCUCAAGAAGGAGAGGGCCAAGAAUAAAUCCUCCACCGGAUCCAAGCAAGCCGCCAACAGUGCCUCCCAAGAUACCACAGAGUGCACAGAACGCUAUGUGAAUAGGAGUCCAUGCGAUCGAAGCCUCGCAAAUUGAUUCGGUGUUUCCUGUGCUCAUUCUCUUCUUGUGCUCCUUGCACAGCUUGACUGAUUCAUAUCCAAACACUCCAAGUGCAAUGGGAAACUGGAGAAACAGAACAAAAGGGUGAAAAAGCCUGUCCCCACAGAACAGUAGGACAAUAGAGCUAAGGAACAAGUUGUUCCACUUAUCUAGUUGUACUAGUAUGCCUACCUGUAAACAGAAGAAGACCCAAUACCAUGCACUGCAAGCAUUUACAUCAUUCUGCACUCAAUUUAUAAAGUAUCAAAAGUAGGCAAUCAGGGAGAGAGAGAGAGAGAGAGAGAGAGAGAGAGAGAGAGAGAGAGAGAUCUACUUGCCUUGAGGACUUGAAGAACUAGGAAAAGAACCCAAACUACUACCAGCACCACAACCCUUUUCCACCUAAGGUUGAACUUUAAUAUUUGCUGAAAAAAAAUGGAAAAUUUUCAGCCCCUUACCACGAGAAGAUAAUUAACACAUCAUAGAAUUUUAUAUGCCAGCUUUUGCUUACCAGUAUUGAUUUCUCUUCUCUAGGAAGUAAUGGCUCGUACUGUGUAUCAAUUAGAACUGCACCUUACCCAAAAAAAAAAAAAAAGACAGUAGAUUGAAUUUCAGGAACAGAAGGAAAUACACACACACGCAUACAAAGUCACACAGAUGUACUUGUGUCGUACGUUCACCCCUAGAGUCCACUACAGUUGCUUGCUGCCUUGCAAAUUCUUUCUGCAAAAUUUUCAGAAAUUUAUUCAUCAUGUAAUCAGUCAACUUUGAUAAUAAUCUUCAAAUAUUCUACAUAAUGCAUAAUUAAUACCAGUCAAAAAUGUCUGACCUUCAUGAUAGUCUCUUCCUUCCACAUCUCAAACCCUUUAAAACAAGACCUUGAUGAAGUUCCUGAUACAAUUUAAAAAACAAAAAGGAAAAAAUUGAAAUUAACAAAAAUUUUAAAAAAUAUAUGAAAUUGGGUUGGAUAAGAAAUACAUGUUGACUGUGAUUCUACAGACCCAAGAAGAGUAUAAUGAUGAGGACAGUGAUGAGCCAGUAGGGGAAGACAACACUGAGAGCCACACCCAAGGUGAUGCCAAGCAUGAGCAUGGGCUGAAAGAGAAGGGCCAGAUCAUAGUCUAUAAUUGGCACUUCUUUUGUUGGAUGAGGCACUCUCAAAUUGUACCAGACUGAUGAUGCAGAUGCCCCCAUUAUCAUACCUGUGACCAAGUCAACAUGCACAUCCAAAUUAAAUUCAGUAACUAUGAAAGUACAAAACAGAAAAAAAGAAAUAACAUUUACUCAAUAAAGUAAGAGAUAUGUAUCUAAGCCAAUCAAGCACAAAAGUGUAGGGGCAAAAUUCAGAAUCUGGGGAAGACACAAGUGGGAGACAGAAAGACAUCAUUGCUCUGGCUACCCUUUUGGAUAUUAAAACAUGUGACUUUUUUUUAAUUAAAUUUUCUGGCCAUAUAUGUAAUAGAUUCCAUGUGAUUAUAUAUAGGUUCUUUUUAUAUGUGUUAAAUAAAAUUUCUGACAUCAUGAACUCAAUGAAAACCAGAAGAAAAAGGUAGUCUUUGAAAGUUGAAAUAAAUCAAAAGAAUGGAGGAAGAAGAUGUGUAGAGAAAUGAAAUUACAUUUGGAAAGAGCAGCAGCAGACUUUGUAUCAAAUCCAACAAUUAAAGUAAGCAUAGGAACAAAUAUUCCACCCCCUCCUACACCUCCUACUGUCCCACAUGCUGAUCCCAGAAAACCAAUCACUGUCGCCAAAACAAGUCUCCAACUAAACUUCAAUUCCUGCAUUAAAAAAAAUGAACAAAGCCCAUCACACUUUAAGCAACACUUUGUAAUUUCCUCAUAAACAUAACAUAAAUAUAUGCAUGUAUGGAGAGAUAGAGAGAGAGACACACACACACAAAACCAGAGAAAAAAGAGAGAGAAGGAGACAUACGGGCCAGGUUUUGUCUGUGCUGGAGAGGUGGGAAGAAAGAUUGGAAUUGAGAGAGAGAGAAAGACGGGAUUGAAGGGGAGAGUCGUAACCAUUCUGGUACUGCGUGACGAAGAACACAGAGAGAAUAGCCACCGAAAAACUUGAUAGGAGAUAGAAAACUAAGCCUCUUGUGGCCAUCGAACAGUGGUUGGUUGGUUUCUCGCUUCUAGCAGAAACACCGAGCACUUAUUUAGAAGAAGAUAUAACUGUAAGGUUCUGUUUUCGCUUGGCUUCGCUGGACGCCCAGAUACGUUAUUUUCUAUUUUCCAACAAAACAAUGCGAGAGAGAUAGAGAGAACCAAUGUGUUCCAAGAGGCUUAAAUAGCGUUAUAUAAUAUGAGAGAGAGAUGGAGAGAGAGAAGGAGAGAGGGUGAAUUGUCGUUUAAUAGAAGAGCACACAUGACAUGAGAGUGAUACGACACAUCUAGAGUCACAUGGAUCAACUAGGGCAUCAGACCUAAGGUGACCUGAAUCAAAUUUAUUUUAUGAAUUAGAGUUACCAUAAGGGAUAUACACUAGAAAAUAUUCCUUUUAUUUUGUUGCCAUCUAAACCAUUCAUAAAACGAACGUAGUCACGUCCAUUAGGGAAAUUUGGAUUAGGACUUCGCUCCUAUAUGACAUGUCACGUAAUUUUUUUUUAAAUCAAACAAAUGAUAAUAUUUUAUUAGAUUAAUUAAAACGUAACAUAUUAUUUAUGUAACACGUCUUAUAUUUUGACUAGACAGUAAAUGUUUAAGUUUUGUUCUCCCUCUGUUUUAAAUAAUUAAAUCCUAAUUAAAGACGAUAAUCAUGACAUUUAAUAUUAUGUGACAACGCUCGCUCAAUACUUUAACAAAAAGUCAGUGUAAGAUCAAAACGACAUCACUCUACUAGCAAUUAACAAUUGUCAAUACGUGUCAAAGAAAACCUUCCUUUUCUUUGGCAAAAAUUAUCAAUCAAUCAGACGAUUACUCCCAGAUCUUCUGAAACUUUUUUUUUUUGGCAUCAACGAUUCUUUUUAUUUUCUCAAUCUUUUGAUCUCUUAAUCAUUAAGUGUAAAUUUCACAUCCAUUUACCUCGGUUACCUCGGUGUCGGACGGUGAAAAAGUGGGUGUACUUCUCACACAGUCAGACUCAAGAUUCCAGUUCUCUGUCUUUUUAACUUUCAGAGUUGGCAGGUCUACGCAUGCAAGCCUUAGAGUAACUCCAUUCAUUUGCUCUUAACCAUAGUAAGGGGGGAGUUAGGGUAGUCACUAUUCACGUAAAUAGUAGUUGUCCUUACAAAUAGAAUUUUGUGUUUCCACCCAUUGCCAUGGCUAAGGGCAAUUACUAUUUAUUUAUUUUUUUGUUUUUUUCACAAAUUUUUUAAUGAAAAUAAUUAAUUUGGAUAAUAUUUUUAGAUAAGAUUUCCGGGUCCUUACGUGUCAAGACUAUUCAUAAUCGGAUAAAAUUUCCGGAUAAGAUUUUUGGAUUCAAAUUUCGGAUGAAUUUCAAAAUUCAAAUUUCAGAUAAAUUUUUUGGUUCAAAUUUCGAAUGAAUUUCAAAAUUCAAAAUUCAUACAAAUUUGGGUUCAAAUUUCGGAUGAAUUUCAAAUUUCAUAUAAAAUUUUCAUCCAAUCAAAUCAAGCCACGUGGCAUGUCUAUCUUGCUAAAAUUUUCUAUAAAACUAGAGGCUCAGCUCAUACUUCUCACACCACAUCUUUCUAUGUUUUCAUUUCUCAGAGUUUAGAAUUCAUACUUCAUUCAUUCUCAAUGGAAGAUUUUAGGAGAUGCUUGGAGAGGCAAGAGCGAGAAACAAAUGAGAGAAACCGUAGAGCAGAUGAAAUCAAUGAGUUGCAAAGACAAGUUGAUGAACAAGUUGUCAUAGCAGUGGCUUUGCAAGAUGAAGAGAACCAAGGUCGCCGCCGUAGUUCACAAGUCGGCCGCCGCCAGAAUGUGGACAUACAUAAACAUUCUCGGGGUAAGAAUCUUUUGGAAGAUUAUUUUAUCCCAACUUCUUUAUACUCUAAUGUUGAUUUUCGAAGGCGAUUUAGAAUGCAACCUCAUUUGUUCAAUAAAGUCAUGCAUGAUAUUUGCAAUUAUGAUGCAUACUUUGUUCAAAAGUGUGAUGCUACUGGGGUUUUGGGGCUUCUUCCGGAGCAAAAGCUUACAGCUGUUAUACGAAUGUUGGCGUAUGGAGCAUCUGCUGAUCAGGUGGAUGAGAUUGCCCAGAUGGGGAAGUCCACUACAUUGGAGGCUUUGGUAAGAUUUUGUCAAGCAGUUGAAACUUUGUACACUAGGGACUACCUGCGUAGACCUACUCCCAGGGACCUCCAACGGCUUCUAUAAAAAGCCGAAACUCGAGGAUUUCCAGGAAUGAUUGGUAGCAUCGACUGCAUGCACUGGCAAUGGAAAAAUUGCCCAACUACCUGACAAGGUGAUUACGGAAAUAGAAAAGCCCAAAAAGGUUCAUCCUUGAAGCCUUUGCUGGCUUCGACACAUGGGUUUGGCAUGCCUUCUUUGGAGUUGUAGGAUCCCAAAAUGACCUCAACGUGCUGGGUCAAUCCCCGGUCUUCAACGAUGUAUUGACAGGCCAGGGCCCCAAUAUCACCUAUUAAGUCAACAAUACAGUGUACCAGACGGGGUAUUAUCUAGCUGACGGCAUCUACCCGAGGUGGACCACUUUUGUCAAAUCCAUUCCGAAUCCCCGAUCCCAGAAGCAAAAAUUAUUUGCUACCUAUCAAGAAGGAUACAUGAAAGAUGUCGAAAGGUGUUUUGGCAUCCUUCAAGCUCAGUGGUUGAUUAUUCGAGGUGCGGCCCGUAUGUUUGAUGAGGAGAUCCUCAGAAGCAUUAUGAUGACUUGCAUCAUCCUCCAUAAUAUGAUUGUGGAGGAUGAGUACGAUUAUGAUGUUUUAGAGGUCUACGAACCGGAUCCAAUGAACACGGCCUUGACACGGAUUUAUGAAAGGCCCAUAGGGCCAAGUGGAGAACCGUUUGAGCCGGAACCGUUGGUGAGGGAUGGUCAUUUCAUGACCUGAAUGAUAGAUCGAUAUAUAGAGAUGCAAUCUUCGUAUAUUCAUGAAAUGCGUCAAGUUCCCUUGAUGGAGCAUCUAUGGGCAGUGAAAGGCAAUGAAGAUGAAUGAUGGAGCAUAGAUGCUUUGGUUAUGUUUUAUUUAGUUAUGGUUAGGUUGUGUUGUAUUUUUAUUUAUUAUGGUUUGGUUGUGGUUUGUUAUUAUUAUUGUGGUAUGUUUGUAGUUUUUUUAUAUUUUAAUUUUGUUUUGUUUGAAGUAUGGAAUAUGUUGAAUAAAAAGGUAAUUUAUUGAAUGCUUUGUUUAUUAAAUAAAGAAAUCUAAUACAAGUCAUUAAGAAUUACUACUACUAAAAUAAAAUACAUGAAUUACAACUUCUUUAAUAGAAAACAUGAAAAAUACAAAUACAUAAAAGGUAUGCUAACUAAUUUAAUGGUUUCCAUCAUUUAACCAAUCCGUGUUGCUAGGCCCAUCAUCCCGGAAAAGUAUUCUUCUCAUAACAUCCAUUCGUUCUAGUUUCCAAAAUUAUUUUUUUUCAGGGGACAUAUGACUUGUAUUCAUCGCCAUGGUUUCCCGAUCCAUCUUGUCCAUAUUUUUUUUGCGCAAAUACUCCCUUUCUCAUGCAUACUCGGCUUGAAGGGCCAACUCGUUAUCCUGGCGUUUCUGCUCCAUUUCAAUUCUUAUGCCGUUUUGCCUUACAAUUUCCUCCAAAAACUUUGAAUUAUUAUUGCUUGAAUUACCCGCUUUCUUUGCCUUCGCGGCCUUUCGGCCAAUGGGCCUCAGCUCAUUUUCGAUGGGUGAGUCUUGACUCAUAGGGGAAUCAAGAGGUGAAUCCGAUGUUAUUGAAUCACGGAGUGGCGUCUCAUUUAACACAACAGCGGGACCCGUCGGAAUAAUUAUGAAGCGUUUGCAAUAUUUCACCACCUCACACCAUUCAUGAUGGUUGAAAUUUUUUUUGCCACCCCAGUUGCACCGAACCAUAUUUGUGCUUGAAUCAUCUAUUUAACAAAAAAAUGGAAAUGCAAUAAAUAUUUAAAAUAUAUUGGAUAUGCAAGUAACAAAAAAAAUAAUAAUGGAAAUGCAAUUAACCUUACAAAUAAAUUAGAAGUGCAAGAAAAUUAAGAAACAAUUGGAAAUGCAAGAAAUAUUAACAACAUACUGAAAAUGCAAGAAAUAUUAACAAAAUAUUGAAAAUGCAAGAAAUAUGAACAAAAUAUUUAAAAUGCAAGAAAUAUUAACAAAAUAUUUAAAAUGCAAGAAAUAUGAACAAAAUAUUGAAAAUGCAAGAAAUAUUAACAAAAUAUUUAAAAUGCAAGAAAUAUUAACAAAAUAUUUAAAAUGCAAGAAAUAUUAACAAAAUAUUGAACAUGAAAUAAAUAUUAACAAAAUAUAUAUAUAUUAGGAGAUUAAACUUAAUAAAACAAAAAUUAUAAAAUACUUACCUCGUUAGUACGAUUUUCCCCGCUUCUAUAGUUGUCCAUCGCUUUUGCCAGGGCAUCUCUCCAUUUUCCCAAUUCUUUAUUGAGAAUUUUCCACCUACUAGAUAAUGUCAUCUCCGUACGAGUAGACCCCGGAAUUCUUUUCACAAAAUUCGGCAUGAAUUUUUUUCCACAUAUGAAAAAAUUUCAUCUCAUUGCCGGACACGGGACAAUGACAAAUUUGGAGCCAAGCCUCACACAAGGAAACAUCUUCCAUGGUGCUCCAAGCCCCUCCGAUUUCGAUAAAAGAAGCCAUAAAAAUAUGAAAUAAAAAUACAAGGUGAAAAAGAGGAAAAUGUUGAGUAAAGAGUGAAUAAUAGUAGAAGUAUAAUGAAAUGUAUGAGGAUUGGUGUUGAAAGUGAAAGGUAUUUAUAGGUAUUUAUAGAAAAAAAAAUCUGAAUUUUUUAGAAUUCUUUAAAAAAAAAUUUGAUUUUUUUUCAUAAUUUUAUUGCCCAAAAAAUGCCAACCGUUGGAUUGGAAUCGGAGAUGCUGAUCGGAGCGCUGGGGGCGCAACAUGUGGCAUCUUCCCAUUGGAACUGGCGUCGCGCUGACGUCAGCGCGCGCUGGUUCAAAUUUUUUUUACCGUUGGCGCGUGCAUUGAACACGCUCGCUGACAUCAGCGUGACACAAGUGCUAACGUCACAGCCCGCGGGCUGAACUUGCCUUCGGGCUGGUCCGAAUUGGUAGGUAGGACCCACUCCCCCCCCCCUGAGCUUGGGUUGACCGCUGGAACCAAUUUUUUUUUUUCCCCUAGCCUUGGGCUCAGCUGCCCGUUGGAACUGCUCUUACAAGUGGCAGUUCCUAUCAUGGAAGUGGUGGAACACAUUUUGAUGUAGGCCUGGGCACAGAUCGGUUCGGAACGGUAGAAAGCUCUUCCGUUAACCAAAUCAAGGACUUCGAUAGACCAUUUUCUCUUCCGUUAACCAAAUCAAGGACUUCGGUAGACCAUUUUCUCAUCCGUUAACGAAACCAAAGACUUCGGUAGACUUCGGAUCAGUUAACUUAAUAUUCGAUUCGGAUUGGAUGGUACACCGGUAGUACCGUAAUAAAAACAUACUAAUAAAAAUACAAUUUAUAAUACUUUCACGUUACAUAAGUUCUUGAACAAAUACACCAAAUUAUCCUUGUAAAAUAUAAAAAUCCAAUAGUCUAAUUCAUCCAAGUAUGAAAUCAAAUAACUUAGUCAUAUAUCAUUCAAUAUGUACUCAGGAUGUACUAGGAGCCACUUGUGUUUGUUGUUUGAAUCUUUGAGUGUUCUUUUUUAUUGAAUUCUCUUCAUUUAUGUAAAUGAUUUUGACAUUUGUUCCACAAUGUGUUCUUUAGUUUUUCAUGCUGAAUCCAACCAUAUAAAGAACAUAAAAUUUGGAUCAACAGUUGGAAAGUUACAGGUAAAAAAGGGACAAAGGUCGAAACUGGAAAACAUAGGAAGUUCAUAAAUUCAUCUCUGACCAAAAAGUGCUAUAGUACUCGGGUAAGUGAUACAAUGGUGAUAAAGAAGUGAUGCAGUGGUGAUAAAGCAGUGAUAAAUGGUAAUAAAACAGUGAUAUAAUGGUGAAAAAGAAGUGAUACAGUAGUGAUAAACGAGUAUACAAAAUGCUGAUUGUAUUUACCUUUGGUUUCUUGUUUUGUAUUUAAAUAAUAAAAUAAGUAUAAAUAUCGGAUCGGUACGGGUUUCUGUCGGGUUAGGAAUUUUGUUUUCGUUAACCAAACCAAACAUUUCGGUACGGAUUGGAUCAGAUCGGAAUAAUUAAAAGUAAAAAAUUAAUUAUUUAACCAAACCAAACCAAACCGUCGGUAUGGUACGGUCAAUACGUGGAUAAUUCGGAUGAGAUGCCCACCCCUAUUUUGAUGUAUAUAUUUUAGGACAUUUCCUAUUGAGAUAGACGAUAAUAUACUAAACUCACAUCAGUAAUGGAUUCAGGAUUCGAACCCCAUGUGGUCAUGGUGUAAAUGUUCCAAAAAAAAUUUAAGAGAGAGUUAUUAUUAUUUUUUAAUCUAUUUUUUCUCUUCCAAAUGUUAUUUCUUUCUUGAACAAAUAUACUUGAAUGAUUUCAAUCUGUCAUUUUUUCGACUCAUGUUUUUGAGUGAUUUCAAUUUGUAAAAUUUCAAACCCAUAUCAAUUAACCGAAAAACAAUAAUUGUGGUGCAAUAAUAGAUGGUGGACAACAGUGGCAACACAUCAGCUGCACUAUAGCAAGUGGGUAUUAGGGAGGUUGGGAUUAGCGUUUGGAAAGAGAAUAAUAGAAAUUAGGGGUUUUUGGGGGGUGAUUAUCGGAAGGGCUUUGAGGGGUGGGGGGAAAGGUGAAGGAAAACUUUCUUUUCUUUUUAUUUAUAAAAUGACUUGGCUUAAAACGACGUCAUUUUGCUCAGGGAGUUAUAAAAAAAAAAAGAGCACAGUACGCUUCUUCUCCCUCAGGCGCAUCUCCUUCAUAUUCCUUAAUCAAAACAUCGAGCAGUUAGAAUGUAGUCCAUAGGGUCGCAUUGUCGGUUUAGGUAGACCUCCAAGUCUAUUUCCAUAGCUUCCAUAAGGUCGUUUGACCUCAGUGAACUCAAUGUGGCUUCGUCUUUAACUCACACACACUGCACGGAUGCUAAAACUCGAACCCACGACCUUGCCCUGGGGGGAAGGAGAAGGAGGGAGCAAUUGCUCCAAACCAUUACACUAAUGGGUCCUUUGAAAGGUCUUGAAUGUUAAGUUAUUGUAAAAUAUAUAUAUAUAUAUAUAUUAUAUGUUGCAAUGGUUUCUCUAUAAAUAAGCAUUUGUUGGUUAAUAAUGCUAUAUGUACUUUUUUAAGGCCGUAUUUAGUUGAGUGGUUUAUAAUUCAUGUGACGAGUUGACAUGUGAGAUAUCUUUGCGCCGACUUUAGGGGAGGGUGAUCACAAGUUGUGUAUAGUAAUUAGGAGAUAUGUGACCUAAUUUCUAUAGUUGACCCACUUGAGUGUCAUUCAAAGAUGUUUGGUUGUAGACUAGUGGGAAAGGGCAUUGAUUUACAGACCAUUGGUCUCAAGUUUGAACCCCCAUAACACCUUGGUAGUAUGUGUGCGUGAGAAACCCUCUCCCACUUGUUUUUUUUUUUGUUGAGAAAUUCUAUGAUUGCAUUCAUAAUUUAGCCAAAAAAGUCACUAGCCACAAAGGGCCAAUACAAACUAGCCACAAAAGGGCUAUUACAAUAACGGAGCGGUCUAAUAUCAAAAUUAAGACAAUCUGGUAUGUCUCCACUAACGAUCAGACAUGAUCGAAGAAACUCUGGCAUAGGCAUCCCAACUAAGAUUGCAAACUUAAAAUAAUAAAAAAAAGAUAAAGCUUGAAAAAACCAAGUCAUAACAAUACAAAUAAAACUCUCACAAAGGAGAGAUGAAAAACUCUCACAAAAGGAGAGGUGAAAACUACACAGAGAACCCAAAGAGUCUCUGCAACUCAUUUUGAACAUAAAGAAAUUGCAAAAAAGAUGGUGGUGGAGAUCCGACGACGAAAUGCAGGUGAAGAUCCGAUGCUGAGCCGCAGCCGCCUAUAAUGGUUGGAUGAAAAUCAUAAUAAAACUAAGAUAAAUAGGAAAAACCCUUUGUCUCUGAAAAUGGGGGAAGACCCUUUAGACUAUCACUUGUAUUAUAAUUUGGGCUUCUUAGAUCUAGAUCUAAAACGGUUAGAUGUUAUAUUGGGUUUAGUCUACGAGUUUUUAGUUUUAGAUAUAGGUCUUUUGACAUUGAUUGCUUUUUUGUUGUGUCGAUUUUACCCUUUGAGGUAAAUAAGGAGAACACGUUGAAAAUCUAAAUUUAAUGCAUGAUUUCAUUGUAAUUGAAUUUCAGAAUUUAAAUUUUGAAUUCUUUCCUUAAUAAUAGUUACCUAAUAUAUGAAUAAAAUAUAAUUUAAUCAAUGAAAAGUAAAGAUCCACUUAUUAUACCAAUCACAAGUACCCACAUGAAAUGAUGUACUUGGCAUAGAGGUAAAUAGUGUUAUUAUUAGCAACGAAAAAAACUUAGUGAUAAGUUGUGUUACCUAUAAGUUAGGAACAUAAAUUAGAAUACUACCUAGUUAGGAACAUAAAUUAUAUUACUACCUAUAGUGAGAUACAAAAAUAGACAAAUAAAACUGUAUGUUACCUAUAAAAAAGGAUACAUAAAAUACUUUUACACUUUGUAGAAAAUAUUAAAAAACACAUAUAUACUUAUGCAAUAGGCAAUAGGACCCUACGCCAUAGGAUAAUAUAUCCACAAGAGUAUAUAAUGUACCUCUACUAUAGGAUGAACAAAAAUAAAAAUUGUUACCUAAACUCAAACUCAAAACACCUACAUACACCAAGUCGAGGGCGUAGAAAAACAUAUAUAUGUUACUUUACCUACGCAAUAAAGUAAGCUUAGGUUCCUACAAAAUGCCAUAAGCAUAAAUAAAAAUAUGAUAUACAUAUUCUGAUGAACAAAAUUAACCCGACAAAGACAAUGUUCUGUUUAAUUAGUAUUAGUACAACAUAAUUUAACCCACAUAAUAGGUACAAUAUGGAAUGCACCAAUUCUCUACCUAGGUAUGUAGAAUAAGAAGAAGAAGAAGAAGAAGAAUAUGGAUAUAUUAACAUAACAAAAAAUAGAUAAAGAAAAGAAGAAGAUAGAAGAAUACAUGGCGAACGAAUAACAAGAAAGAAGAAGAAGAAAGAAAAACGUGGAGGUGGUUAUAAGCUAAAUUGAAGGAGAAGUUAUAUCUCCAAAAUAAUAAAUUGUCCUAAAAUUAUGAGAUUUAUUAACUUAUGUAUAUCCCUAUUCGAAGGAGAAUGACUAUUUGUAACAUGAUUUUUGGGAUAUGUUCGCGAUAUUUUCCUUUUUUAUUCAAUGACAAAGGUCGUAAAUGGCUAAUUAUUAUUAUCCAAUUCAAUGCAUAAUGGGCAACAUUGGAAUAAAAAAUAAUUUUAAGAAAAUAAAAAGAAAAAUAUUACUUCAGAAAAUAUUUAAAAAUGAAUGUAAUCCUAUGUGGCACAAAAGCUAAAUGACUUGUACUAAAGUCACAAAAUCCAAGGAUUAAACCCAACUUCUCAAUGAAAAUUUGAAUCUAUAUCAACUUUUCUAUAGAUAUAUAUAUAUAUAUAUUAAAAAAAGAUGUUUCGUUCCGGGCCAACAAACUCUUAGCCCAAUGGAAAGAGGUCUUGACUUACAUACCAGUUAUCUCAUGUUCAAAUCUCUAUGCCAUUUUGGUAAUGUAUGCGUGUGAAGAACUCCCUCCAUUUUGUACUUUAGAGUCUUAUCACUUAUAUUGAAAACCAAAAAAUAAACAAAAAAUGUGAUAAACAGUUGAUAAGAAAUUAAGAUCAGAAUCUAUCUGAAGCACCAAUUAACUAAAAAGUUUUCAAUUAAUUAUUAUUUAUUUCCAAUAAAAGUAAACGUUGGCAUGUGCGAAGAUGCUAGUUAGCAAAAAGGACAAGAAAAGAUAUGUCACAAUUUGAAUUAGAGAGGUUGUGUUGUUUUCCAUUAGAAAAAGAGCAUAACUUAGUUCCUUAAAAUUAAGACGAAAUUUUUUUUAAGAAAUCAAAUCAAUAAAUAGUUGUGUAAUUAAUUACUGGAUUUAGGUUUUUUUUAUUUUUAAUCAUUGGAAAGAGGGAGAUACCAAUUUGAAAUUUGAGAAAAGGAAAGCACAACAUGAUCAAUUUAAAGGUAUCUAGAAAGGCCUCUAUCACCUUUUGGAAAGAAAAAAAAAAAAGCAAAACAAAAAAGGCCUCUAUCAUCAAAUGGUAGAAAUCCAAAUUGUCCUUUCGCCAAUGGUUCUGGCUCAAACGUGGUCCUGCUGCUUUGUACACAACUUAAUAAAGAUCUCCUUGACAUAUUCUCAGAAGACAAAGCCACCGUGUGGUACCUUUCUUCCCCAACCUCAGUCAAUAUAUAUAAGUUUGAUAAAAUGUGAUUGCUUGGUUCUUGUUUUUAUUUUCCGAUCAGUGAUAGCUUGGUUCUCGUUGAUAUAAGCUUUAGAGUUAACUUUGAUUUAUAUGCAUUUUAGAUCUGCAGUUUCGAAAAAUUAUUGUGAUUUUCUUUAGCAAGUGUGGGGCAGUACUGCUGCAUGUGCACUAAAACCAAAAAAGAAGGGUGUAGGUGUGUGCACGUUUACAUGUAGGUCCAAUUUGAACUGCCAUUUUUCUUUUGGGAUGCAAAUUAAAUUGAAUGGUUUUUUCGACAAAACAAGGAGAUAUGUAUGUAGAAUGGUACAUUUAUAAACGAGUCAACACACUCACAACAAGAUUUAUAUAUGUCACGAUAAUGAGACUAAUCAAAAAUAUAAAUCGUCUUUGCAUUUAUGUAAAUUGAAUAUGAGAUCUCUUCUAUUGAACUGCUACCUUUAAUAAGCUGAUGAUCACAUAAGUUACUAUUUUCUCUCACUAAGUUUCUUAUGAAUCAAUCUAAGAUGACUCAUUGUGCAUACCACAGAUAGAAUAUGUUUCAAUCACUGACAAUACUAUCACCCCAAAACCUACGUAAUCACUGACAAUUACUGUUGAUUACUGAUGAUUAGAGUAUUUAACAAAAGUGGAGCCAUCAUUUAGGUCAAAAGAACAUAUAUAUAUAUACCAGAUUGUGAUGGAUGGAGGCCUCAAGAUUGUGAAGUAAUAUUAGUCUAUGGUCAUAUAUUCAGAAAUCAAGUACGUCUGGUUAAUUUGUGCAUGAAGCCUUCAAAAAAAGGUCCCAGCAGUUUCAGUGAAAUAUAAAAGCCAUGGUUGGUGCAUGUGCUCUUAAACUAUUGAUUCCAGAAAGAGCUUAAAAACUUAGGGUGAUGUCAAAACUCCUGCAGGACCAUGUCGUACUUACAUUGUGUUGUCUUUGCCUUGAUGCUAGAAAUAGUGAUAACUAUUGGCUAACUAACAAAUGAAAUAUAUAUAUAUAUAUAUAUAUAUAUGUAUAUAUACUAUUUCGAGACUUCAUCAGCUUAGGCUGACUUCCAUCCAUAAAACCUAGGCCAGCCCAUAAACAAAGGGAAAGAUCAUUCAUAAGAUAUGUUCCGGUGAAAAGAUUUCAAUAAAUGUUAUGUUUUUAGACUGUGAGUUAGAAUUCUGCACACUUCGACUUACUCGAUAAUUUCCAUCUAUAUUCAUACAUGUCUGACUGUAUGACGAGAGAAAAUAAUGACUCCAGAUUCAGAUGUCUCAAGCUGGGGUUAGAUAAUUAUUAUUUCUUCCUGACCCAGCCAAUCAUACUUUGUACGGUCAUCGAGAGUGGGCUUCAUGUUACGGCAGGAAGUUGUCCGAUAUUUUCAACCCUUGACAUUAUGCUCUAUAAUCAGCGGGGGACCAACUAAACUCCAUGAUUGGUGAGCACAGUUAAAAACUCUAUGAUUACUUGCAAGGGAAACCAAGAAGUUUUUGGGUGACUCCACCCACUGGCGGAUUCAGGAAAUUUUAUUUCAGGAUCAACCUCUAAAGGUUUAAAAAAAAUUAUACAAAAUAUAUCCAUAAAAAUAAAAUGAUAAUAUUAUAAUUCAUAAUUAAUAGAAAAAAAAAACACAUUACAAUUGUCCACGAUGAGUUUUCAUAUUCUAGAAACGUAGCAUCAAGUAAGCUAUUACUCAGCUAUUGAUCUCCCAUUCUGUUGCGAAGUGGACCUUUCACAAUUUUCAUAGCAGAAAAUGCUCUCUUCACGGAAGCAGUUGCAACUGGUAAAGUUAAGGCUAAUGUGAGAAGCAAAUAAACAUAAUUAUAUGUUUUAUGCAACCAUUUCUCCACCAUUUUUCUUGCAAGGCUACCAAUUCCUUUCAAUUGAGAAAAAUGGGUCAUCGUACACAUAUGAUUAAUAUAAAUCUCAAAGCUGAUCUUCAAGUGCCACGAGAUCUUGGGGAUUAAAAUCUUAAGGAUAAAAUUCAACAAAACGAAGUAGCUUUUGUUUGUCAAAAACUAUGAAUGAAUCAUCCAGACUCAAACAAGUCAAACAAAGAAGUAACUCAGUAUUUACCUCACUGAAGCGAUGAUUUAAUUCCACAAGUUCUCACUCAAUGAUUUGAAUAAAGAUGUCCACACAAUAAUGAUGGAGGUGUGUUAUUCUAGGAACUCUUCGAUGUGAUCUCUAUUGAGCUACAUAUGUAUCAUUCAUGUUUGGAACCAAGAUAUCAUGUUUGACACAAAAGAAAGAUACUUAAUCAAACAAAGCUUCAAAUGCAUUCUCUUUCAUAUGUCGUAGUUAGUCCUUGCAAACUUUGACUAAAGUUAUUGCAUUUCCAAUGUCUUGGUGUUUUCCUUAAAAUACUUGUAACAAGUCAUUUAUAAUGAUGGAGUCUCCACCAUAUACUUUAACAAGUUGGGUUCACAUAUAUCUACUUGAAACAAUUAAUUAAGAAAAAAGAAUUAUUAUUUUUUGUCAUUUUCUCAGAUUCGUGGUAGCAGAUGGCUCAAAGUGGUGACUCUUGCUGGUAAGAAUUAUUGAUCAUCCAUAUACGUGUAAGAGAUGUGUAUCUCAUCCCCAAAAGGGAGAAGAAAGCCCAAACCAAAAAUAGACAGGAGUUAGAAGCCCCGGGAUUCUGGAGACAUUCGAUCGAUCGCCCUCAAUUGACCUAGCUAACUUCUGAACUUUUUUCCCAACGUACAUUCAUGUCAUCACCUUAUCAUAUUAAAUUCCACGAUAUGAAUAUAAUUUUAAUUUAAUAAUGUAAUAUGCAUAUCAAAUGCCGUGUAGAAUAAAAAAUGAAAGAAAGCGAAGCUUUGUAGUAUUUUUAUUAAAGUUUAUACAAAGAUCAAUAUAGAAGACAACCCAGCUUAUUAUGUAACGUGUAUUCGGUGGUCUUGUUAGUCUUAGUUCGCAGAACAAAACGUGAACCAUUUUUCUUAUAAACUUAGAACCUCCUUUAAUUUCAUCAAAAUCUAUGGCGGCUAAGCGAUCAUAUUCUUAUUAACAUGAGUAUAAUCACGAAGAAGAAAACAAAUUGAAUGCAACAAACUCAAAGUCUACCUUAUAGUCAGAGAUAAGGUGAAAAUUAAAGUAGACCACAUUGAUGAUGAUAAGGUGGUAGUGGAAAGGUUUUGAGAGAAAAAUAUGUUGAUUGAUGAGUUUCGUCAAAUUGUUUUGGGAGCUUUUAUAAUGAGGGGUGUUUUUGGUGAGGACUCGGAUUCUCUGUUUUGAUUUUCUCUGUUAUGAUCUGGUUUACUUUUGUUCUCCGUAUGCCACCUCAUUAAAAUUUAAUCUAAGGGAUAUAAAUUGGACACAUCGACUGUAAAAUAAAAUUUUAAUUUGCUCCUAAUUAAAAAUGAUUAAAAAAACCUUAACUUGACUAACACCUAAACGUAACGUCUCUGGAAGUUUUUUUUUUUCCUUCUUCCUCCUCUGCACGUCUGCAUCACUCAUCAAUCUUUUCUUUCUCCAAUCUUAGAACACAAAAACAUUCUUACCAAGAAGAGUAUGAACAUAACAAGAAUCCUAUGACACAUCGAAUAAGAAACUAGCUCCAAAGGCAUAGGAAAUUAAAUCAUUAAAUUUGCCCAAAUAAUAGAAAACCUGGAGUGAGAAUGAAGAUAAGUUAGAAAAUAUAGAAGUAAACUCUACGUUUUCAAAGAAAAAAACAGGGAAUUUAUGCCCACAAUGAUGAAGAGAGACAAUUCCACUUUUUGUUUCCGAAGUUUUGUUAUCGCAUUUUGUUCCUCAUUCAAAUUCCACGUUUGGUUGUUGAGAAAUUCCGAAAAAGAAACUAAAAUUUGGAUUUUGAAUCUCAUCUGGUUUGGGGGUUGUGAUUUCUCAGGAACGAAAUGGAGCAUUGAGAGAAGUUAAUUGCGUUGGGUACAGUCAUCAUAUCCCACAUCACCUGAUUUGCUAAAUUAUUUAGCAUUUGCCAGUUGUGUAAUUUGGAAUGAAUUGAUGCGAGUGAUGCAAGUUAAAGUUAAAAAGGUAUUAGUUUGCUUCUGUUGUUUCUAAGUUGCAAGACAGCCCAAGCUAUUUUUUUUCCUUUCAAUAAUAUGUAUAUGUGUUUAACUUCCACCGAUUUCACUUUCUGUAGAAGAACAGAGAUGAACGAAAAGAUUUUGGGGGUGGGGGUAGACAUGCAGAGGAGGAAGAAGGAAAAAAAAACUUCUAGAACGUUAAGUUUAGGUGUUAGUCAAGUUAGGGUUUUUUUAUAAUUAUUUUUAAUUAAGAGUAAAUUGAGUUUUUAUUUUACAGUUAGAUGUGUCCAAUUUAUAUCCCUUAGAUUAAAUUUUAAUAAGGUGGCAUACAGAGAACAAAAGUAAAGUAGAUUAUGACAGAUAAAAUCAGAGCAGAAGAUUGGAUCUUUUUGGUGAGGGGGUUGAAGAGCAGAAAAACUUAUUUGCAAAUAGCAUUGUUUUGCUAUCCCCAGCUAAUAAUUGUUUGAUACGUUGAAAAGUUAUUCCAAUUGUCAUUGCAUUAUUGGCCGGGAAUAGCAAAAAGUGAUAUCUCAGUUGCAUGAAAGUGUUUCUCUUCAAUGAGGGUUUCAAUUCAACCAUUCAAUCAUUAAAACAGUUUCAAUCCCAUAGACAUGGGUUUAGCGAAGUUCGUCAGAGUGGAGGUGCUCCCUACUAGAUCUGUACCCAAGUUAAAAUCCCUCUCCCUAUAGUUUAGAUUAGUUUACAGUAAAAUAUCGCUUGUAAAAAAUAAAAAAAAAGUUAUUUUAGGGAUUAAUAAUUGUCUUCUUUUUCUGAUAAAUUAUUUUUAUACAUGUGUCAAAAUGUUAUCUACAUAAAAGAGAUACAUUAUCCAAAAAUAAUAAGGUGAGAUAUAGUCGUGGAUUAGAAUGCAUGAUAUAUAGUAUAUAUAUAUAUAUAUAUCUUCACCUUGAAAUGUAUAUAAUAUGUGCGAUGAUAGGGUUGUAGAUAAAUAUCUAUAUAAGUGUUCUAAAUUGCGAUGAUAAAGUUUGGAUCCAUUAAUAUACAUUCUUGUCUUGUAGGUAGCACAAAGUGACACGAAGAGGGGACAUAAACUUGUGUAUUAUUAUUGCUUUGUUUACUCUUAAAUCGUCAUUAUGUUAGCUUUGAACUUCACUUUCGGUCACAUGCGCCAAUUUCAGGUCUUUUUGGUACAACUUUAAUUCUCAGUAUUAAUCAACACCUAGAUUCCUUUUAGGUGGAGAACACUCCAUUAUCUAUAGCCCUCAAAUUUGUAGUAUAGUGUGCCAUUUUGGCCUUUUCCAACACAAAUACUACGCAUAUUUGUCAAUUACGACCAUACAUUUUGGACAUUAUUCUAGCAACGAGUUCAAGGCAUUUGGAUUAGUUUUAUAAAAAUAUUAAAAUCAAUCGUAUACACACGUACAUGUUGACUCUGACUGUCGAUGUUUUAUGUAUCAAAAUGAUGUAUUAAUGUGACAGAUUUCUCUACUUGAUGGAUUGAACAUGAUCUCACUGCCUCAAACGUUGUGUUUAAUCUCCUUGGCCUUCCCUGCCCCAUUUGAAUCACAAGAAAUUUUUGGUGCUCAGGAAAUUUAUCAAGCAUGACAUAACAGUACUUGCACUUGCAUUUCAUUUUUAGUAUUUAAAAACAUGAAAUAUUUAAGAAAUAGAAUAAAAAGGAAGUUUGAAACAGACAAGAAUAUUCGAAAAGAUAUUGCAAUAUAUGCAUAGGAUAUAUUCGAACGAGCAUGUCGGGACAUUUGUCCAUAGAAAUUUAUUAUUGUUGAGAAAUUGAUUGACGGGUAGUGAAGUUUUGUCUUUUUUCCGUCUUAUGUUCUCUUGCUGCGUGAGAUUCUGAGAGAGAAAGAGAGAGAAGGGUCGACAAACUCAAAGAUUGGUGCAAAUGUAGAGUACCAUUAUAGAACUUUCCACUCUUUUCAUAAUUAUGAACACCUUGAAACUGAUGGAUCCCCGGUGAUAUGGUUUUGGAUAUCCAUCUAAAAAUAUUCCAAGAUAUUUGUAAAAUAAUGUGACACUAACAAGUUUUGAACUGUAAAAUUAAUCGAUCGAUUCUUUUUGUCCGUCUUGAUUUAACCAUUGUACAAGUUAAUUUUGAAAUUAAUUGAGAAUACAUAAUACGAGGCGAGGAUUUAUCCUCGACCUUAAAAAAUGUUAUACCAAGUGAGCAUAUUUUUCUCAUCAUUCGUUUGAUUACUCUAACAUGUCCUCACUAUGGCAGCUUUGGACUUCAUUUGGGUCACAUGUGACCACUUCCAACUCUACGGCUUGUUUGUGCAAUGUCCUCACUCAAAUCAAGAAGUGAUGAAUAUUUUCAUCGUUUGUGCUAGGUGGGGACUCUCUCUUGUAUUUUUUAUCACCUAAUCCCUUGGCCUUUUUUCAGCACAUGUGCUUUGUCGAUGUAAAUAAAAAAAGGAAAAUUUUCCCAACAUGAUAUAUUGAUGUGAUUCAACAUGACAUAUUGAACUUGAUCUGAUCACCAUCGCAAUAGUUAUCUAUAUCUUCCUGUUGAACGCAUGCAAUAUGCUUUAUACAUUUACAAAAGGAAUUUUUCAUUCUCAUUUCUUGAGAAAUGACAUAAGAAAUGAUUUCUCCUCAAAUUCAUUCAAUGAAUCAAACAGGGCUAAGACCACUUCAACUCAUCUCUUAAAUCGCUUUUGCCCUUUUGGUAUUUUCCAACACAAAGUAACAUAAGAGCAAUGAUUACGAUUCUUAAUUAAGGAAAAUUCCUAACAUGAUGUGAUUUGAUGCGAUAGAGUGGCGCAACAUGAGAGAUAGUGAACUUCCAUCUUAUCACUAUCUCUAUGAUUUGUCUAUUUUUCUAUUCCCUUACACGGAUUAACAAAGUACAAAACGACACAGUACUUUUCUAUUUUUCUAGGCAUGCAAUACGACAAAUAUACCAUAUUUAUAUUCAUAAUUAAAUAACUAAACGUGUUUCAACUCACAUCUUUUGAUUAAAAUACAGAUCAAAACAUCUAUAACUCCUACAAUUUUAAAUCACGCCACCAACCACCAAUGUUAUACUGAAGCAACUAAUGAGUGUCUAAAGCCAUCCCUUUCUUCCAAUUUCAAUAUACGCUAAUUAAUUUCUAGCGUCCAAGCCAUCCUUUUCUUGCAAUAUAUUAUAUAUUUGAUUUUGGGGAUAUCCAUAUGGAUGUUUGUGAAAAUUUCAUUCUAGGAGAAUAUUCGCGGAUGAAUAUUUUCUUUCAAACGUUCUUUCCUUGUAACUUCUUUUUUUUCCAUUUAUAGAGGGAAGAGAGUUAUUCCUUUCCUGAUUAAUGGAGUUGAGGGAAAUUAUGGAAGAAAAUAAAUAGUUAAGAAAAUAUAUGAAAUUUAUUCCCUCAACUUAAAUUGAUAACCUAUAUUAAAUAUACUAGCCUCUUCGCACACGCUUCCGUGCCCGCGUAAAACUUAAAAAAUAAAAAAUAAAAAAUAUUUUAGAAUUAGAAAAAAUAAUGGGUAGUUGUGUUCCAUAAAAAUAAGAUUCAUUAUCUGAUUUUUCUUUCAAUUUUAAUUUUUAAAAAUAAGAAAUGUGUAAAUUUACCAUAUUAUCUUUAUUUAAUUAAUAAUUUUAAUUCUUAAUAUUUGAAUUAACAAAUGAUAUUUUUUAAUAUUUUAAAUAUUUCAUCAUUCUCUGUCUUUUACUUUAUAUAUAUAUAUAUUAUUAAAUUAAAAAAUGUAAAUUUAAAUAACUUCUCUAUCAAAUUUAAAUAAUACAUUUUAGGAUUUGUCUUGUAAAAAAUUAAAUAUUUUAAAUUUUAAAUAAUACAUUUUAGGAUUUGUGUGAAAAAAUUUGUCUUCGUUUUCACACGACGCCCGACGUCGAAUUUAUUUGCUCUCACAAAAGAAUCCAGACGUCGAAUUUAUUUGCUCUCACAAAAGAAUCCACUGAUAUAGUAAUUUGAAUUAAUUGCUCCCCCAACAACAUCCUAAGCUAGUGAUUUAAACUAAAUACUUCCCGAUAAAAUCCCGAAUUCUUACUCUCGACAAGGUCCUGAGUUUGAAUCCCAGUAUUCAUAUCUGAUCCUAAACUAAUGAUUUGAACUAAAUACUCCCCACUGAUAUAGUAAUUUGAACUAAUUGCUCCCCCAACAACAUCCUAAGCUAGUGAUUUAAACUAAAUACUUCCCGAUAAAGUCCCGAAUUCUUACUCUCGACAAGGUCCUGAGUUUGAAUAUCAAUAUUCAUAUCUGAUCCUAAACUAAUGAUUUGAACUAAAUACUCCCCAACAAAAUCCCGAGUUCUUGCUUCCGACAAGAUCUUGAAUUUGAGUUUUAACAUCCGAAUCUGUGUUGUAUAUAUGAAUUUAAUUUAGUUUGAAUUCUAACAUCCGUAUCCGUGUUGUGUAUUUGUUGUGUGUUUGAAUUUAAUUUAGUAUAAUAUCGCUCCUUUCAAUAAAAAAAAGUCCUAACAAAAGUUAGGGUUGUCGGGUCAAGGUUAGCAUAUCAUCAUCGGAUAUUCCGAUCGACCCAUAGAUACUUGGGUUAAGUUGGGCUUAAACUCACUUGUGGCCCAAAUGAACUAAAGAACGCAAAAUACUAUUUCCUUUCACAACACACGAGUGAUGAGUCAAGGGUCAUGUAAGAUGUUAUACAUCAGAAGGCAGAGCUUAAGUAGCUUAAAAACAAAAACAAAAACAAAAAAUACCCAAAAUACGACACAAAAAAACAAAAGCACGACACCACCAUUACAAGGUCAGCUUCACACUACACAUCGUGGACGCGAUCACAUUUUACCCGGGCUCUCCACCCUCACUUUUCCGUCGUCAUCAAUGUGCACCUCCACGCGCGCUUUUCCUCCAUCCAAACGACCCACGUCGUUGAAAUUUUGACCAUGCAUCUGGUCAGACGAAUAGAGCUUACCCGCCACCUCACCUGGCCUGGUCUCCGCCACAUCAACCUCCUCCCUCUCCACAACAUCGGUUGGCUGAGUUAACUUGCUUUUAAUGGCACCGGUCACUCCGCCAAAUGAGCUCAAUAUAUUUCCCUUGGCUGCCUUCCCUUUCUCAGCCUCAAUGUCACGUGCCUCACGGGAUCUACCACCAGCUUCGUCCUUGUACUCUUUCCCUUCCACCUUCAAUUCCUCCAUCUUUCUCCUUGCUUCCUCCUCAGUCUCGCUCAACUUCUCCUGCAUAUAUUUAACAAAACUCGACCAAUCAGACUUUGUUAAUAUGGAAAUGAAAGAAAAUAUAACACAUUUGUGCAACACAUUUUUCAAAUAUAUAUGAAUACGAGAAUGAACGAUUAUUCUUUAUUACCUUGGUUUUCUCUGCAGUCUCGUAAGUUUUCUCUUUUGUUUUCUCAGUAGUGUCGGCAGCCUUAUCUUUUGUUUGCUCUGCAGUCUCCGCAGCCUUCUGCUUGGUCUCCUCUUUCUUACCAGACAAGUAGUCCAUGGCUUUUCGAGCAGCGCCGGCAGCCGUGUCCUUCAGCUCGCCCAACUUACUCACAGUCGUGUCCUUCCCUUCUUUUGCUUUCUCAUCUGUGUAGUCCUUGGUCUCAUUGGCCUUCUCGGCUGUUGUGUCUUUGGCCUCCUUGGCCUUCUCCGCAGCAUAAUUUGUAUACUCGCUUGCUUUCCCAACAGUCGUGUCUUUAGCAUCCUUUGCUUUCUGCAUUGUUGCGUCUUUUGCCUCCUUUGCUUUCUCAGUGGCAUAGUUUGUAUACUCACCAGCUUUCCCCAUUGCCGAGUCUUCCGUCUCCUUCGCCUUCUCGGCGGCCUCCUUAGCCUUUUCAGCAGCAUAAUCCUUGGUCUCUUUUGUCUUGUCAGCAGCAUAACCUGUAUAAUCGCUUGUUUUCCCCAUUGUCGUGUCCUUUGCCUCCUUGGCCUCUUGAGCUGCUGCGUCCUUAGUCUCCUUGGCCUUCUGUGCUGCAUAACCAGUAUACUCACUUGUUUUCCCCAUUGUUGUGUCCUUUGCGUCCUUGGCUUUUUGAGCUGCCGUGUCCUUUGCGUCCUUGGCUUUUUGAGCUGCCGUGUCCUUUGACUGUUUCGCCUUCUCAGCCGCGGUACCCGUGUACUCAUUUAUCUUCUCCCCCGCGGCGCCCGUGGUCUCUUUGGCCUUCUCUUCAACAUGACUUUCAUCGUGGCUUUUCCCCACCACAGCAUCCUUCGCUUGCUCUAGCUUCCCGGUCACCGUCUUCAGCACCGACCCGAUCACCCCAGGCUUCUCUUCAUGCACUUGCUCUGCUGGCCUCCCCAGCUCAUCGUUAGGCGUAUAAGUAGUCUCAAUCUUUGUUUUUUCUUCAUAGACUUGGCCUUUGUUCACGUCUCUCAACUCAUCCGCUGCGAGCCUUGCUGCGGCCUCGGCUCUCUUCUCCUUGGCUUGCCUCGACGCCAUUGAAACACUCCAAAUUGCACUCAAAAAUUUCACACAGAACUUUAUCACUGUAUGUUUGCUUUCGAGUCUUCGAUUUUAUUUUAUUUUUUCCUUUUGGUACAUGAGAAGGUGAGAGGUGGCCUAGUAGUAUAUAUAAUUGGUGGAGUUUUGAGAAGGUGACACGUGGAGCCCGAGCGCGGUGUAAAUUGCUACGUGGUAUUGUGGGACGAGACUUCAACACGUCGACUUGCAUGCAAAGGGAUGAAUGGCAGUGUGGGACCUGAGAACUUUCGGGGCUCAUGUCGGUGGGUUUAGGAAGGGCUAGGUCCUUGGUCUUUUCUCUUUUGAUAUGGUUGCGUUCCACGGGUUCUGCCAGGUGGCGAAUUGGGCUUGCUUUGGGUUCUUUGAUCGAUUUCCUCGGGUGGAUAAGUUGUUUUUAGCACAUUUUGUAUUGAGUUGUUCUUUGCUCGGGUGGAUAAGUUUUGGCUAAGAAGAAUGUAGAGUUCUAAUUGAACUUCCAUUUGGUCUAUAAAUCAGGACAAAUUAAUACGGCGUCGGUCGGCUUGGAAUGUAGAUAAAACCCAGUCUAAUUAGAUUGCCCAAUAAAGCCCAAUCCAACAAGCUCUAUUAAUUCUACGUUUUUUAUUCUUUCUUUUUUGAUCAAUUGCUCUAUUAGUUCAACUUAAUCACCUAUUAUUUGUCUACUUUUAAUAAAUUUAUACCCAACCCGGAUAUGUGACUCUAGUGCAUCAUGCAUGAUGAAUUCCUUUUAACAUGCAAUUGUGACGCUAUAAAAUGUCAUAUAGAAACUGUUUAUGCAAAAUGUUUGUUUAUCCAUGUUAUAAAAUUGUCUACAAGUUUCAAAAUGAAAAUGGGUGCACAUGUCUAUAUUUAUAUAUUGAGAUACUGGAGAAAAUUAAAAUAUGGAAGUAAUAAUGAAGAAGUGUAUACGUUUGUAGUUUUUGAGUACGAUUGUCGUAUAAAUAAAGAUAUAUCCAAAAUAGAGCCAAAGAAGGCAGAGAUGGAAGUAAAUAAUAGAGAUUAGAUAACAUAUUAUUAGGAGGCAGAGAUGGAAGUAAAUAAUGGAGAUUAGAUAACAUAUUAGUUUCUUAUUAAUCCAAUUAUAUGAAAGCAAUACAAUCAUUGUGACUGUCAUCUUUUAGAAUUGAAUUAGUUAGAAUUAUGUUUGAAUUGAAUUAGUUAGAAUUAUGUUGGGUCCUAAAUCAAAGUUGAGAUUUAUACUUGGUGCAUGUAAUUCUAGAGAUAGCACAUCUCCUAAUAAAAUCACUCCAGCACAUUGUGUCAAAGUCUCAUUAUUAAUGGAAGUCCAAGAAAGUAACACCACAAAUUCACGGAAGCCAACAGCUAUUUCUUCUUUUUCUUAUGAAAAAUGGGUUGUCCAAAAAGAAUUGGUAAUGGUACUUUUAUAGGGACUUUAUAAAAUCAAAACACACACAGAAAAGGAAAACCUACCGAAUGUAAUUUAUUUCUCACUUGUUACAAAUUGAAAAUCCCAGAACAAGAAAAGAAUUUCAUCCCUUAUAGACAGGCAUACAUCACAAACCUCAACCAAUUACUUAAAAGGUCUUAUUGAUCAUCAUGCACUCUGACAUUCAAUCUUCUGAGCCAUAUAGAAUGGAGGAUCAUAUGGAACACAUCAAAUCGCUUGGGAGGAGAAUUGACCUCGAAAUGCCUCCUUACUUGUACCACUCUCCUCUGCAUUCUUAUGUACUGCUUUGUAGAAAUGCUCAUUAGUAUGUUCUUCAAAUUGGGAAUUUCACUCACUUUAACCUCCACAGAGAAAGACUUCCAGUUCAAAACAUCACUGAAUGGUGGCACAUAAUGGUCUGAAAUCAGCACAGGAACACACCCAGUGUAAAUUGCCUCCACUACCCUUGGGCUUGCAACUUCAUAUCCACUUGGGCAGAGGCAGAACUUGCUAUGUCUCAUCAUGUCAUAGUAAGAAAUACCCUUUGGAAGGUACUGAUGCACCCGUAAAUCCUCGUCCUUGUUCUCCCAAUGCUCUAGCAGCACCGGCCUAAUAGGGCCGUGAACCCCUCCGGCAAAGAAAGCUAGGAUUGAGCGUAGCCUUGGAGAAGGCCCGCCAAGAAACCCAUGUGUGUCACCAGUUUGAAGAUUGAUUUCUGGAAAGGAUACAUCCUUAGAGGGGUUGAACCCUUCUGAGGUAUUUGCAUUGCAUAAAACACGAAUGGAGUUUUUUCGAAGAUGAGGAUCUGAGUUUGAAGUUUCUGGCCCCUAAAACAUAAUCCAAGUAAUUUAAAUCAGAAUGUUAUAUUGGUUUAGCUAGUAUUUGUGCUACAUUACAAUUUGACGGUAAUUAAUAUUAGGUAGUAAGAGUAACAUACCCAAUCAUGGCAAGCAAGCAUAAAGUGAUCAGCUCCAAGGCUUCGGUUCCAAUAGGGAUAUUUUCCAGAGACAAUAUUGACAUAGUCUCUUACUGUUUGUCUAAUGGGACCAAAAUCAUGUGAGUCACGCACAUACACAAAGCGGACCAACAUUGUCACGCUGAAAGGAAGAAAAUAAACAUGUGCUUUCUCAGGGUCGCGGGUCCGAAAUUGCUUAUUCACCUCAAUUUCAUGGAUAAAAUUCCCCUCCAUUGAAUAUAUGCUCUUGCAAGGGCCGUUAUGAAACAAGGGGGGUUCCCCUUCUCCAUAAACAAAAACCUUGAACCGUUUCUCCAUCUCCAAGUAGCUCCUGUAAUUUCAAAGGGGCACUAUCAAUGAGAUAACAUGUUCGAAAUAAGAGCAAUUAGCCAUCCCUUGGUAUACAAUUUGUGUCACAUCUUUAAAGUUGCAAAAUACAUGUUUGUAACAAUGAAAGAUUGAAACACCCAAUUGGCCUUCUCAAUAGUAACCCACAAAAUUAUUUGAUAAUUAAGACUCAAAUACGGAGUAGGUACCUUUGAAAGGCAUUGGCAUUCCAAUACAUGGGACCAUUUGGAAUGUAGUCCACAUCUUGUGUUUGAUUUCCAAAUUUAGCUUCUCUUAUGGCAGCUCGAGCUCUUCUAAGGCGGGCCUCCAGCCACCCUAAAUUAGUAUUUUUUCGUUGUCCUUCAGCCUUCAUUAUAGAAACAUGCGUCUCAUUCGCGUAGUCGUCUUGCCUUGUACCAUUCUGUUGAACUGAUUAAUUGUUAGAUUUACCAUCUCUUAAUCAAUUAUUUAAUAUCUAAUCUGCUCUCAUAUAAAAAAUCUAUACAAGAAUCAAAUUAUUGCUCAGACAAAGAGCAACCGCUGGAAGACAAAAGAAUGUGACCCCAUUAAUAAGUUUGGAACAUUUACGUGGGGCAGUACUUAAUUAGUAGAAACUAAACACGUAAUGAGUAGAUAUACAAAAGCACAAAGAGUGUCGUAAAGGGUCUAAGCAAUUAAAUUCAUUUAUUAUUUCUCAAUUAAAUCAUUCACCAAAACGAGAGGUAAUAGGGAAAGGGACAUUGAACUGUGACAGCAAGCAACUUCUACGGAAACCUAAAACAUGUCAAAAUGCAUCAACAUAUAUAUAUAUAUAUGUAUGUAUUUCCUCGAUCCUAAUAAAAAGUUUAAGAAAAAUUAAUUUAAUUAUGCAGUCAAUUUGGAAAUGCAUAUUUUUUCUUUCUUCCUGCAAAAGAUUUUUUCCUUAGACUUGUAGGUCAAAGAGCAGCCAGCCAAAAAUUACAGAAAAUUCUAAAAGUAUGGGCCAAGCCGAAUUCUUUGUUUUGAUUUAAUGUAUUUUUCUUACCCCAUAAAGAAAAAUAAAUUAAUUCUUGAAUUAUUUUCAAUGAAAAAAGCAAAAGCAUCAACAAGAAUAUGGCAAGAACAAGCAAGCAAUCAACUCAAAAAUGAAGCCCAUAGAAAAUAGGAAAAGAAAUUGUAAAUGCAUGUGUAGAAAGUGGAGCUCUCUUACGGGUUGUGCAAGUGUUGGUGGAACAGCUGCUUCAAUGGAGAGUGGAGGAGAAGAAGAUCGAUUUUCAAGAGAGUCAUCCGAGUGAGCUUCUUCUAUGCUGUGCAUAUCCACCACAACAACCGACGAUCUCAACCCCAAAACGUCAUCGUUUAGGGGAGGAAACUCUGAAGAAGAAUUUGAAGCACCGGUCAAGUUCAGAGAGGGGCUGGUGCUCUGUGAGCUCCAUAGCCAAGGGUAAGAAUUAGAUAUGAAAACCCAGUUGGAGGUUUUUGGACCCAACAAAGAAACCAACCCAAAAACCACAACCAAUGGAACUACAAACAAGAAGAUGGCCAUUGAUGAAGCUGAAGAAGAACAUGCAUAUUGAUUGCCCCAUCUUUUGCUGCUAUUGGCCAUCAAGUUUUGAGGUAGCUAGCUAAAGGAGAGAUUCUUAAACUAGUUUAGGAAUAGCUUCUGAUUCAGAAGCUGCCUUGUUUGUUUGCUGAGAAAGUGGGAGAGUUUUGGGGUUUUUAUUUUCUGGUAGGGAGAAGACAACAUUUGGUAAUAAAUGGUUGCGUCUUCACGCCAAGCGUCCUCUUAUGCUGCCCUCUAUUUCCGAGUUCCUCAUGCAACUUUUGUGUUUCCCAUUUUGACCUUUUCGAAUUUUUCCAUCUAAUUUUCUACUACCUCCCACCGAUAAGUUUUAUUUAAUUCCCACCUUUCUCAUCUCGCCAUUACACUCGCCGUUUGCUGCACCCACGCACGAGGGCACAUGAUGUAAGACUCCCAAGGUGAGUAUUUAUGAAGCAAGUAAUAAUAAUAAUAAUAAUAAUAAUAAUAAUAAUAAUAAUAAUAAUAAUAAUAAUAAUAAUAAUGUUGAUGAAGUGAACCCGUGUAAUUAUCCAGCUCAAGAAUAAAUAUAAUGACGAAGAGCUUAAAAAGGAAGAAUAUCUACUAUUAAUGAACAAAAGAAAUAUCUCCAACUGAGGAACAUCCACAGUAUGAGGGAAACUUUGUUAAUUAUACAAGCAUCAACGUAACUUAUAGCCCUAAUGCCCUCACUAAUAACACCAUAGAGUGACGAUUAAAAUUGACAUAUCAUAAUACUUAAUUUCAAAUGUUAUUUUACGAAAUGUCAAAUUGCCACCAUAACAAAAUAAUUCAUUUUAGUAAUUAGUAAAUGCACACAUUAUACCCACACACAACACAACACACUUUUUAUUUUAAAUACAGCAAAUUUCAGAUAAUUUUCGAUUGUACAAAAGAAUAAACGUAUUUAUGUUUUCUUGGACUGUGGCAAGUACACUCUUAUCUUAUGCUGCUUCUUUCUUUUAUUAAUUUCCUCUUUUUAAAUAGGAAUAUUUGAUGCUUCUCAUUCUCAAGCAAACUAAAAUAAAAAGAAAAAGCCAACAAUAAGGGACUCAAGUUAAAAUUUGCCCUUUAAUCUUACUGCAUCUAAUUCGUCGUGUAGCAAAUCGUAGCAUCUAAUUCUCAAAAGGCCAAAGCCUAACCGCACGAAAAUCACGUAAGAAAAUUUGUACAUCAGUGAAGAAGAAGAAGAAGAUGACACAUUUGUUUGGUCUUAUGUAUUGUUGUUAAUUAUUAUUUUGUUAUUAAGGUGGCCAAAGCUGCCCGCAUUUGCUGUUGUUUAGUUGUUGCUUGUUAUGGAUAAUGAGCAGAAGCUCAAGGCCAUGGCAGAGAGAGAGAGAGAGAGAGAGAGAGAGAGAGAGAGCAACUCCAAAGGGAAGGGCAAUAAGGUCUUUUCGAUGUUGUUUAGCUGUUGCUGUUGGGCCUCGUGAGUCGACACCUCUCAUUUACUUCUGCAACGGGCGACGUCAGAAGUCUAGGCUUUUAUUUCCCUUUUCUUCCCCUUCUAAUCUCUCUCUUUGUUUCUUUUCUUUUCUUUUCUUUUCUUUUUGUUGUUUGUCACUUGCUUAAUGUAUGGGUUUCCCUCCCGUUUUAUUCUAAUAUUUUCGGGGCUGCGUGUACCCGUGUGGUUUCUGUUAAAAAAAGAAAAAAAAACUGCAUGCAACUUGAAAGUAGGAAACUGAGCUAAACUUUCAAAGGGGCAGAGGUUAAUUUUGAAAGGAAGUAAUGAAAUUGGAUUGGUUAACUUUUGGUUAAGUCUUCCAAGGCUGCUUAUAAUAAAGAAGAAUUGCUACUAUGAAAAGUAUCAACGUGGUUAGCAAUAGACGUGAGGGAACAACUCACCUAUAAACUAUACAUACAUGUAUAUAAUUCAUUAAUAUAUAUGGUAUAGGGUUUAUUAAUUUCACAUUUCUUAAUUUUUUUAAUAAAUAAUAUGGUCGCACGGAUAUACAUUUUAAGUGUAUAUAUAUAUAUAGUUAGUCUUCUUCUAUUGAGGGAUCCUUCAAAUAAUUUUAUUUGAGGGACACCAUUUAGGGUCUCCUACAAAUACUUUUUCAACGAUCCAAACUAUCUAUUUUUAAGUCUACAUUCAUAGACCAUCCUUGGAAAAAAAUAGACAAAUCGGAAACCGUCUUAAUAUCCAAUUGUGUCCUACCAAAUAAUGAACACGAUGCUUAAAAAAGUACUAUAAUUUCAAUAAUUCAAUUGAGUGAUCAAAUGAUAUCGGAUUCAAGUGAUUUUUUGUAGAGAUGAUCUUUGAAUGAGUAUCUACAAAGUAGAUGGUUUGGAUUAGUAAAAUACAACACGGAGUGAGUCCUAAAAUGGUGUCCCUCAAAUAAGUAUAUUUAAGGAAUCCCUCAAUAGAAGCUCCCUAUAUAUAUAUAAAGAAUCCCAGUAGAACCGUGCAACUGUAUUAUUUAAAUAAAUAAAUAAGGACCGCCUAAUAGCGCAUAGGGUAUAGGGUUUAGAGUUUAGGCGGGUCCUUUUUUAUUUAGAUUUUUUUUAAAGAGUAGAGCUGCAAAAAAAAUAAUAAAUAAAUAAAUUAUGCAGUAAGAACUAAGAGCAUGAAAAGCACCAUUGCUCAACCUGAUCUGCCCUUAUCAGUUAACACUGGAUGUGGGAGUUUUAGGACUCAUACACAGGGUAUCUUUACUCAAAAUUGAUAUGAUUUUGAAAAAUCAUUAGACUGAUAAAUCUUAACUUUGCUCCUAAGUAGUGGCGGAGGCACUUAGGGACUAGUGCAGUCACUAACCCCCACUGAACUUUUAUUAAAAAAAAAAUAGUACUAGUAUUAGGAGUCUAGCUACAUAUUUAAAAGCCAUAUAGAUAUGGGCCCAAGAAGAUUUCAGCCAAAGAAGUUAAGUCAUAAUGGCGUGGUCCAGUAGAUUUUAACGUGGGCCAGCUAAAUAUCCUAAAAUUAUACACUACCCAUUUCUAAAAGGAUUAGAAUUAUUAUUAUUAUUAUUAUAUAUUGCCUUCUAGUAUAAAUCAAUAAACCUAAGCCUUUUUAUCUUUUCUUGGGUCAGAAACACGACCAGACCAACCAAUCUUUACUUGAUCAAGUUUCUUUCUUUUGUGGCAAGUAUCAUAUUGAAAUUACUAAAAUGAUUGAUAUUUUUUCCAGUGGAGGGAGACCAAAAUGUAAAGCUCAGCCCAUCACAAACUUACAUCAUUAUUGUGUUGAUUUAUUCAUUGAUGUCAUUGAUAUUCAGCUCUGAGAGUUAAAUGAUCGGUUCAAUGAGAAGAAUACUGAAUUACUUCUUUGUAUGGCAUGCUUGAGUCCAAGUAAUUCAUUCUCUGCUUUUGAUAAAGCAAAGUUGAUGCCAUUUGCCCAAUUUUAUCCAAGUGAUUUUUCUGAGCAUGACCCCAAAUUACUCGAAGAACAACUUGAGAAUUACAUUUGGGACAUGAGCUCUAACAAUGAAUUUACAAAAUUGAAAGGGAUAACUGAUAUUGCGCAAAAGAUGGUUGAGACAAAAAAAAGAUCAGAUAUACCCUUUAGUGUACUUGCUUCUGACACUAGCACUAAUCCUACAUGUUGCGACCACAAGUGUAGAGCGAGUAUUUUCUGCUAUGAAUAUUGUGAAGAAUCGAUUACGCAAUCGAAUGGGGGAUUUGUGGAUGAAUGAUUGUUUGGUUGCAUAUAUUGAGAAAGACAUUUUUAAUAGUAUAGAUGACGAGGUUGUUAUGCAACGAUUUCAAAAUAUGAAAACUCAUUGAGGACAAUUAUGACUGUAAUGAAUAGACAAUAUAGAAAAUAUGAUUUUUGAUAUUUUGAUGUCUUGUGAGUUCAAAGUUUUUAUUAUUUAUAUUUUGUGAGAGGCCCCCAGACACAUAAAAUCUUGGCUUCGCCAUUGCCCCUAAGUACCCUUAUGCUCAGGAAAGACAGUUAACAUAGAGAGGUUACGCUGGAAGCAAAACAUAAGCUUUCUAGUUUAAGAGUUUGCAAAUACGGGUGCCCUAGCAAUUUUGAAAUUUUGUGGCCUACUUCCAUUAGUUUAUACUUUAUAGUUAUUAAUUUACUAGUUUCAACAUAUCCAAAGUAGAUAUUCAAAAGAAAUAUUUCAUAGGAAAUCAAUAUGAGAGUUUAAUUUUCCUUCUCCUUUUUCUUUCCAUGGGAAUGUUUGCCUUUGAUUUACCUCGUUCUCUCGAGUGCUACUAAAUUAUGUUAAUGCACACAUUAUUUGUGGUACAUAAUUGCAUGCUAAGUUAGAGUGGUCUUGGUAAUUGCUUUACUUUUCAAACAACAGUUUACAUGAACAAUACUACCACCUCUCUUACUACCAUACCCAUAAAGUUUUGUUUGAAAAUUUUCUUUUGGCUGGCAAAGAGAUUGCGAAAUCACCAUCUUGCAUUUAUCUUACAACAAGUAAGAAAUAGUCUUAGCCGCUCAAAUUCUUUCGUAGUCAGUUAAAUACUGAACGUGGAAAAUACAAAUAAAAUACAUAUUCGGAAAUUUUUUGGCAAGUUACAAUUGAAAAGUUCGGUAACUAUAUAAUAUUUUAAUUCAAUAAUAUGUGAAAAUUAUGUGUAUAAUACGUGAAUGUUUUGUGUAUUAUUGAAAAUUUUAUAACAAAAUAUGUGUAUUAAACAUGAAAAAUAUGUACAUACGUAUAUUGUAUGUUUACUUUUUGAAAAACGUGUAUUUUACCGAGUAUUAAACACUAAAAUGCUAAAUUCUUUAUACAAGUAAUAACUUUGAAAAAGUACAAAAUUAAAAUGGUACAAUAGAGACUCGGGUAAUGGUCUAAUAGUAAUAGAUAAUGCUCUAAACUACUCUUAUCAUAAAGGAGAAUUAGGAAAAAAAAUUAUUAAAAAAAAGGAUGCCAGUACAUAUUUAAAGAGUAUAGCCGCGCAACUAUACUAUUAUUUAAAAAAAUAUUUGAACUCUAUAAAUAGAACAUUUCAUAAGUAUAGCCGAACGGCUAUAUAAAUAGAAUUUUUUAAACGUAUAGCCGCGCGGCUAUCCUUUAUAAACAUAAUUUUUUUGCGUACAGCCGGGCGGCUGUACUGCAUAAAUAGCAUAUUUCACAGGUAUAGCCGCGCGUCUUUACUCUAAAAUAGAAGUUUUUAAAUGUAUAGCCGGGUGGCUAUACUAUAUAAAUAGCAUAUUUCGUAAGUAUAGCCGCACGGCUGUACUUACGAGAUUGCUUGUUUUGACUUUUGCUCUUCUUCCAAUCUUUUGCUUGUCCUCCAAAGCCAUGGAGGUUUCGUACGAUGGAAGAGAGAAGAAUAAUACCAUCUGAUUCAAUCCAUUAUCCACGAAGUACAUUUGAUGCAUGUGUUCAUUUCUUUUCUUUUUUAAACAAAAAAAAUAAAAAUAAAUCUGAAUGAGUUUUAUCUUAAUAAGUAUUUAUUUAUUUAUUUUUGCAUGUAGAUGUGACCGGAUUUGAUUCACAAAGCGAAAGAAGGUGGUCUCAACUCAAUACUAUUGAGACUUACGUUUUUUUCUGGAAUUUUCAUGAGCCUCAACAACGUCGUCAGGUUUUCUUAAUUAGUUUUUCUGGAUUAGUUUCUUUUUCGUUUAUGAGGUUAAUUCAUUUUCUAAGCACAAAUUUUAAGGUUUCUUUUUGCUUUUGUAGUAAGAUUUUUCAGGAAAUCAUGAGCUGGUCCGAUUCAUUAAAGAAAUCAGCGAAGGAGGGCGCCGCGCGCAAAUAAAAAAAGAACAGUGAAAUAUGAAAUCGAUUUUUAGUGAAAUGAUUAUUAAACAGGCUAGUUGCUGAAGAAUGAAUGGUUUGGUUUAGAAAUUAGACCAUGAAAAAGUGAUUUGAUUUGUUUGUCAAUUGGGCUUUAUCUAUUUUCUGCCAACACUAUUCGGAGGUUCACUUACUCGAACUCUUGUAAUUCAAUUCUACUGGAAAAUUACACUUUCUAAAUACAAACAUGUUACAAUUCACAAAACCUCUUAAUUGGCUACCAAAAAGAUGAGGCAACCAUAAGUCACCAGUAAUCUUUGCAUGAGCACUGACCACUAGAAAAAUAAUGUACUCCUGAAGCAUCCCUUACAUAUAUUGUUCUUCUGGUGACAAUAGACAUGUAUUUCAAGAAUGUAUGGCAGUCUCCACAUAGAAGGAUGUUCUUCACGAUCCGAACUGGUUUUCCUGGCUUGCUGGUCAGAAGCCCGUAGGUCGCUGCUAGUUUUGCGCUGUGAUAGUACAAGAAAUCCUUCUUCUGGUGCUCUUCUACUUCCUGAAGAACAAAGCUUGUGUCCGGCACAUAACCAGCUUUUAGACAUUCUAAGAUCAGUAUUUCUAGUCCACUAUAUAUGUCUUUUGCUUGGGGAUGAGAUUUAUCUCUUGCAUAGAAUGGAUGUAUCUUCUUGUUAUGAAUGAUCCAACUUUGACCUGGGUGCUUCCGGAAUCCCUUUUUUCUCAUUUUAUCCCUAACCAUUUCAGAGCAAUGCCAUCUCCCAGAUGCUGAAUACAGAUUCGAUACAAGUAUGUAGGAAGAUGGAUCUUUGGGCUCCAUGGCAAGUAUACGUUUCACCACCCUUUUGCCAACUGUUGUAUUCAUACGGAGUCUACAACUAUCAAGCAAAGCUCGCCAAACAGAAACCUCAGGCUCAAAAGGCAUCUUACAGAUUAUUUCCUCUGCUUCAUCCAAUAGACCCCAGUACCCCAAAACAGCAAUGAAGGAAGCAAAGUGCUCUGAGGUGGGUUCAAUGCCAUAAACAGUUUUCAAGGAGAGAAACAAACUACGACAAUUAUCAACUAAGUUGGAGUUAGUGUGUCUGUAUGCUGAAAUGAUCAAAACAAAGGUAAUCUUGUCAGGUUUUAUGCCAGUCCUCUCCAUCUUUGACCAGAAAGCUAAGGCCUCAUCACCCUGUCUAUGGAGAAGAUAACCAGCAAGCAAACCAUUCCAUGAAACUACGUCAUGAGUGGGCAUCAUAUUGAACAACUUGACACCAUCUUCCAUGUUCCAACACUUAGUGUACAUGCUAAUCGUGGCAUUUCCUACUCCUACAUCAGUUAGGAAACCACGCUUAAAAGCAUGGCAGUGGAUUUGUUUCCCCAGCUCAUGAAAUCCUAUAGUUCCACAAAGACCGAGUAGUGAAGUUGAUGAAACUUCAUCCAUAUCCAUUCUUCCUUCUGACUGAUUAAGGUUGAACAGAGAAAUUGCUUCAUCCAGUUGCCCAUUUCGAGCAUACCCACCUAUAAUUGAUGUCAAAAUUACAGACCUGUCCUGCUCAGCUGGCCACCGAAGAAACAUCUUUUUGGCAUCUGCCAUCCGACCACACCUUGUGCACAUAUCAAGCAGUGCAGCUUCAAUGCAAGCAUUUGACCCAAAACCAAACUUGAUAAGGAACCCAUGAAUUUGCUCACUGGUUUUACAAUCCAUGACCAAGCCACAAGCAUUAACAACGCUAGUCAAUGUGAAGUCCGUCAUCUCCAUACCCUCCUCCAACAUUUUUGUAAAUAAAUCCAAUGCCCUCAAGCCUUCACCAUUUCGACAAAAACCAGCCAACAGAGCAUUAUAAGAAACAGGAUUCCUCUCUGGCAUGUUAUCAAACAUCUCUAUAGCCAAAUCCACCAAACCUACUUCCAUGUAGGCUGUAAUCAUUUCCGUCCACGUAAUAACGUCCCUCACAGGCAUCCUCUCAAACAAAGACUUCACACCAUUUACACUCCCACACGCAGCAUAGAACCUAAUAAGUGCAUUGGUAACACUCAAAUUGGCCUCUAAACCAAUUUUGAUUGCAUAGGCAUGAACCAAUUUGCCUGCUCUAAAAGCACUGCUACCAGUACAGGCAGUCAAAAGGGUUGAAACGGUGAAACGGUCGAUUCCAAACCCUUCAGUUCGCCACAGUUCACGGAACAAUUCAAAUGCUUCAGCAUACCUAAAUUCCUUCACUAAACUUGACAUAACAGUAUUCCAAGAAGCAAUGUCUCUUUCGGGCAAAUGAUCAAACAGUUUAAGCACAUAAUCCAAACAAGAACAUUUACCAUACAAACUCAUAAGCGCAUUCGAAACGAAAACACAAUCUAAGUAUCCCAUUUUGACCGCCAAGGCAUGAACUUGCAAACCCAAAUCCAGCUCCAAAAUCCGAAUACAAGCAGUUAAAACCGCAACAAAGCUAAACUCAUUAGGGUCAAUACCUGAAUUCCUCAUCCCAAAGAAAAGCUCCACAGCUUCGUCUUCUCGACCCGCCUUGGAAAAACCCGAAACCAAAGUGGUGAAAGACACAACAUUUGGGCAGGAAAGGCUUUGAAAAACCCUGUAAGCGUCAGGAACAAGACCCAACUUGAGAUAAGCUGAAAUGAGAGCGUUACCCAGAUGGUUAUCUUCUUCAAAUUUGAGAAUUGAGGCGUGCACGGCCCUGGCGAGCUCGUGGUCGCCGUGACGAGCCGAGAGGCGAAGCAAAUUGAGGAGAUGGUGAAACAAGAAGUGGGUUUGGUCAGAGCCAUUGGGAGGGGUUAAAGGCAAAAGGGGUUUUUGGGUUGGGAGGGAUUGGGAGGGAGGUAAAGCGGUGAAGUUGAGGAGGAGUUGGGGUUUGAGUUUGGGGUUUGAACUUGAAGGAGGUGAGAGAGAGAGAGAAAGAGAAGGGCGUAGUGAGGGUUUAGGGUUGGAGAGAGAGAAGGGGUUUUGAGGAAAAGAAGAAGAGGGAGGAGGAGGCAGAGGAGGUAAGGCGGCGAUGGUGGGUUGGAUAAUGGUGUUCAUUUGUUGUACCCAAGGUGGGCGCCAACAACAACCAGAACCAUAACAAAAUCAUAAAAAAAACCUGUUGUAACUUCUGGUUUGUACACUGUGUUGCAGCAGUUCGAUGGUUAGGCAUACUAGAUUGUGUAUGUUUAUUUUUUAUUUUUAUUUUUUUCUAUUGAUAAAAUUAUAUCACAUUUUUGUCCCAAAAAAAAAAAUUCCUUAAUAAAAAAAUGAAAAUUAAACUAGAUGUUACUAGCUUGGAGUUGAGGAUUAGUAGAAACAAAAUAUGGUUUAAGUUUAAUGGAAUUAGAUCGGGUAUAAAACGACGUCAUUUUAUACCAGAUCUUAAAAAAAGAAAAAAGAAAAAAAGGGGAAACCUUCCAUUUCGUGGGCUUUAAAUAGGGCCUCCAUAAUUCCUUAUUUAAAUGAGAUUGAGAGAGUUCUCUUUGGCUUUACCCAUUGCAACUGCUUUGGUUGAGAGAACUUUUUCAGUUAUGAAUAUUAUGAAACACCAUUUCCUAACAAAAUAGGGAAUCAAUGGUUGGGUGAUAGCUUGGUUGUUUACAUUGAGAAAAAUAUUUUUUCUUGUAUUAGUAAUGAAAAUAUAAUGCGCAUUUUCAUAAUAUGAAACAUCGUCGGCAACAAUUGUAGGUUAAUUGUAAUGUUAUUUUUUUCAAUUAAUUAUGAAUGAUAUUAAUAUUGUUUAAAUUAUAAGGAUAUUUAGUUGUCUAACUUUUUUGUUGAGUUUUUAGCAUUUAAAUAUUGCACUUCCGUUGAAAAAUUCAUGAGUCCGCCAAUAAUCAGUGCCCCAUGGAAAAAUAAGGGUUGUAAUUAAGGAUUGAAUAGGUAUGAUUAUGUCAAGCCAAAGUUUGGACUCCAAGUUUGCUGGAUAAUAGUAGUUAAUCUUACAAUGAAGAUAAUGUAUUGGAAUAAAACAAAACCUUAACAAUUCCUUAAAAUAAAAAUAAAAACCUUAACAAAAUAGGUGGGAUUUACGCGUGUUUUGGUGCGGGUGGGGAAAAAAUGAAUGUGCAUUAAAAAAAGAAAAAAGAAAAAUUUAAAAACACACAAUAACGACAUGGGAAAAGCCCGGAGCCAAGGAAAACGGUCAUGAAAGAUCGUCGUUGACGAGAAGCGAAUGAGAUUGAAGAAAACCAUCGACUGUACGAUCGCCGAGUUCCAACUUCCAUGGACGAACGUCGCAAACAUCAGGUACUGUAAAUUCAACAGCACAAUCAAUUUAUGCUUCAGCAAUCUCCCUCAUGAAAAUUGUUAUUGCGUUUCCAAUAACUUGUGCUCAAAAAUUGAUUUUAAUGGCGAUCGGUUUGCUCAGGUGUCGUUAAGAGGAGCGAGCGCGAAGGAGAUUACCAGAGACGCUUUGCUUGAGAGGGUCUCUCAGGAAAGAGAGCUUCGUCAAUAUGCCAGACGAGCCUCAUCAGCUGCGGUCUUCAUUCAGGUGUUUGCCUUUUCUUUUCUUAAAAGCGAAAAAAUUCCUAAUUUCUGCAUUGGUUUGUUAAAUUUUGGCCAAAUUAAACAAAUUUUGAUGUGGGAAAGAAGUAAAACAGCAAAAAAGCAAGUGGAUUUUCGAUUUUGUACUGGAAGACAUAAGGGAGUGUAUUUUUAUUUUUAUUUUUAUGUGUUCAGAGAGUGUGGAGGCGCUACAGGGUGACAAAGAUGGUGGCUUCGGAGCUUCGAGAAGAAUGGGAGAAUGUGAUGAACCAAUAUGCUGAGUUAGCUAUCACUGCAACAUGGCUUUCCAGCAAUAUAGUGAGGCCUUUUCUUUUCUUUAUUACUUGUUUAUCGACUCGGCACAGGAACAUCCAGCCCAGAGAAAUUUACUCUACGAUGAAUUUCUUUCAAAUUAUGCUGGAAACCGUGACUUCCACUGGUAUGCUUCUAUUUAUUUAUUUAAAUAGUUUCCUCGGUUUGUUUUAGCAGUUGGGUUGAUUUCAUUUUUCAUGUAUAGACUCAAUGAAAAACUAUUGCUCCCUGGCAAUCGGCACUGUUGAGGAGAGAAGAGUCUGGAGUUAUCAGUCACGGAGGAUGAUUUCUCUCUGCAUGUUUAUUCUUUCGGAGUGUGACAAUUCCCGUGCAGGGGGUCAAGAUAUUGUUGCUCUCACCUCCCUAGCAAUGCGUUUUGUUGUUGUCUUAACUGAUCUUAAAGGGUGGAAGAGCGUUACUGAGCAUGACUGUCAGAGUGCAGAUACAGCAGUGAAGGAUUUAGUUUGGUUUAUGGGAAGUAGCGAAAGUGGUCUUUACUUAUCUAUCAGAAGAUACAUUAGCACAUUAGAUGCUCCUUGCUCUUCACGGAUAAGCAGUAGUAGCGUACAAAGAGAUGAUAGAUUUUUGAUUACUGCAAGUACAAUAACUUUAGCUCUUAGGCCAUUUCAUGUGGCAAAGUUUGAUUUAGACGGUCCUGGCUUGCUGGAUAUCCAUUAUGUUACCGAGAAUUACUUUGUUUUUCUACUUACAGUUCCUUGCCUUACUCAACGUCUUCCAGCUCUUCUUCUAUCUGCUAUGAGGCACAAGUCCAUUCUCUCACCCUGUUUUCAGACAUUACUGGUAAGGCUCAUUAAAUUUGAACUAAAUCUUUGCAAGUCCUUUUUGGUAAAGUAUUUCCUUUAAUGUACUCAUUAGUUACGUCUUAAGUAGAUUUAUAAGUAGUUAUGAAAAUCCUUCUUUUGGAUAUGAUGAGUCAACCGGUGAGGGGAACUUUCUUUUACGAUCUAUAACUAGUGUGCAACUGCUGCAUACUUCCAAGCUUAACCUGGCAUUUCAAAAUGAAAUAUUUGGUAUUUCUUUGCCAUUGAACAGGGAUCCUAUUUCAACUAAUACAUUGACUCGAUGUCUCGGUAUAGUGUGACUGGACCAGUUUAGAGCAAAAACUAAGCUUAUUAAGAUUUUGGACACACUGUUAUCUCUUCUUACAUAGAUGAAUGCAAAUAUAUUUUACAGGAAAAUGGUUGUGUGAGUUUAUUAAUGGUUUAAUAAUACUCUUUUGACAUUUAUUUGUAGAUGAAUAUAAUAUAUUGUGGAUGUACCUUCUAGUUUCAAGUUACAAUGAUCCAUAACAUUCUCCAUUAAUUUGACACCAUGUUUUUCCUUCUAUUUUGACAUUUUCUACUUUAGGUUGUAUUAGUUUUGUGGGAUGGUUUUGUUUUAUGUUAAUUCUUCAUAAAUUCCAUCUAUCUAUCGUUCUAUGGUAUGAUUAUUUAUUUUAUUUAUAAAUUCCAUCAUCAUAUGUCAGGGCAUAAUCACAUCUAAUUCAUUAAAUCCCAGUUUCUUUUCAAAAUAUAAUUUCUUAGCCCUGUGAUUCAAACAUGUGGGGACUGAUCAAACUUUCGCAGGUGAUGGCAGAUUUUGAAAGAGAAAAUAUUAAAGGAAAUGUUAGAUGUGGAUCAAUCAAAGAUGGAUUUUCUUCCCAAGGUGAUUCCCCCAGCAGGUUGGGCUCUUGCAAACAUUAUAUGCCUAGCAACAGGGGCAGAGAAUGAUUCUGUUGAUCCUGGAGGGUUCCAUCAAGAUUUGGACUCUGUAUCAUAUGUCCGUGCUGUUAACAUUCUUGCAGAAAACUUGUUGUCUAGGCUUGAGAAUGUUGACUGUGUCAAGGAGAACCAGAAUCUCCAAGGUGAAGUUGAAACCCAUGAGAAGCCCACCCAUGCAGCUUUAUGUGAGGGUGAGAUGGGGUCCUUUAAAAUGUCGUACUUGGAUAUGUUUAGACCUAUUUCCCAGCAGUGGCAUCUUACAGAUCUUUUGGCUAUAAUGGAUAAAGUUGGUCAUAUUCAAGGGUCUGAGACACAACAAAACCUGGAACAUUCAAGGAAGUUGGAGCUGCUAGAUAUUGUGCAUUUAUAUUCGUACAUGCUCAGAAUAUUUUCAUUAUUGAACCCCACAGUUGGAUCGUUGCCAGUCCUUAACAUGCUAUCUUUUACUCCUGGGUUUCUUGUGAAUCUAUGGAGAGCAUUGGAAACAAACCUUUUUCCCAGGGAUUGUCACACUGAUCCAGACAAUUAUGACUGUAUUAGUAAAAUUUCAGUCAAUGACAAAAAAGUUGGGGCUUUUGAGAAAAAACAAAAACACGCCAAUAAUGAUGGAGUUAAUAAGUGGGUCACUGUUCUGCAUAAAAUUACUGGCAAGUCGCAAGGCAAUGAUUAUACAAAUUUGAGUGAUAAUCAACCUAAGCCUAGACCUGUUGACGAGGAUUCUUCUGAUGUUUGGGAUAUAGAACCUGUAAAGCAUGGCCCUCAAGGUAUCUCUAGAGAUAUCUCAUGUAUGCUUCAUCUUUUCUGUGCAAGCUAUUCACACCUACUUUUGAUUCUUGAUGACAUAGAAUUCUACGAAAAACAGGUAACAGGUUAUAUAUAUAUAUAUAUGCAUGAUUUUCUUAUUUUUCAGUGAUUGUUCUGAUUAUUCAAAUCUUAUCAUUCGAGCAUUUUAUGCAUGAAUAGGUGCCAUUCACACUGGAGCAACAACGGAAAAUUACAUCUGUCCUCAAUACAUUAGUUUAUAAUGGUUUUUCUCAAAGUAUUGGACAGCAGGAUAGACCCCUUAUGGAAUCUGCAAUCAGAUGCUUGCACUUAAUGUAUGAAAGGGAUUGCAGGCACCAGUUCUGCCCCUCUGUUUUGUGGCUUUCACCUGCUAGAAAAAACCGCCCACCAAUCGCGGUAGCUGCCAGAACUCAUGAAGUUCUCUCAGCUAAUGUAAGAUCAGAUGAUGCUGCGCCUGUUCCAAGUGUAGGUUCUGUUAUAACUACAACCCCGCAUGUAUUUCCAUUUGAAGAAAGGUAAGAAAAUAAUCAAAUAACGGAAAACUCAAUAAUUUCAUAGUUCAAUUAUUUUUUCCCUGUAUUUUUGGCCCAGUUUGUUUAUUUCCUCAACUUUUGAGAUCCCCCUUUUUUUUGGAUAUAUGAAACCCAUUUUGUGGCCUUUGGAUGACCUGUUAUUGGCUUCCAGUGAAAAUUGUUGACCUUGUGACAUACGCCUUGAGGUUGCACAGGUGCGUGCACCUGAAUGUUUGGUUAGUAUAUGUUUCCAAGUGAGAGUGCAGAAGUUCUUCUAUGUAAUAUGCAUUACAUGGCUUCUCUGGCUUGUGAGGUUUGAGUGAGCACUGGUAGGUGGGUGGGUUGGUGGGGCAGUAGGGAUUGACAAUUUGUGGGUUGAUUAUUUUUGCGUCUUCAUUGCCUAUACUAUUCUUCACCGCGUAGUUUUCUAACUCUUUACCUUUGACAGUAUGGAAUCAUGGCUAGAUUCUUCACUACUGACUCUUUUGAGUUUUAACUUUGACAUAAUUUUGUUUCUAAAAAUCUUUAAGACCUCUACAGUAAAUUAUUCUUCCUGACAUAAUUUAGUAUCAUGGCAGAGUUGAGAUGUUUAGAGAGUUUAUCAAGAUGGAUAAAGCCUCCCGAAAAAUGGCUGGUGAAGUCGCUGGACCUGGUUCUCGAUCAGUUGAGAUAGUAGUUCAUCGUGGUCAUAUUGUUGAAGAUGGAUUUCGGCAAUUAAAUUCUCUAGGGUCAAGGUUAAAGUCAUCCAUCCAUGUUUCAUUUGUCAGUGAAUGUGGCCUUCCCGAGGCUGGCCUGGACUAUGGUGGAUUAUCUAAAGAGUUUUUGACUGAUAUAUCAAAAGCAGCCUUUGCUCCCGAGUAAGUUUGAGAUUUUAUAUAGAUAUGUAUAUGUUACAUUUUGCUUCCUUGCAUUGUUAUUGGAUUCUUUAGAAGUCAGUUUUCUGAGCUCAUUUUUUCUGCUGAUCAGGUAUGGGCUAUUCUCCCAAACCUCAACCUCAGACAGACUUCUGAUCCCUAAUUCAUCUGCAAGAUAUCUGGAGAAUGGUAUCCAGAUGAUUGAGUUCCUUGGAAGAGUUGUUGGCAAAGCUCUUUAUGAAGGAAUUUUGCUAGAUUACUCCUUUUCACAUGUUUUUAUACAAAAGCUGUUAGGUCGAUAUAGCUUUCUUGAUGAACUAUCAACACUUGAUCCAGAGCUUUACAGGAAUCUCAUGUAUGUCAAGGUAAACCUUGGAUUUGUUUGUCUGUCUGGGUCCUUCCAUUCUCAUUAAAUCCUUUCUGAAGCAUUGAUCAUUAGUUUGAUAAUCAUGUAACCAUAUUAGUGCACUAAGUGUUAGGAUACAAUAACAAAACUGUUGAAGAUUUAUUAUAGAUGUUUAAGAGAUAAAACUGAUGUGCCUUGCUCCUUAAAGGGCUAUAUUAAAUUACUUGGCCAAAAAAACGAAGGCUGUAUGACAUCAGGAUCGCAUAUUGUAAACUUGAUAGGGUCUAUGUGGUUGCAUCUCAACCCAAACUAUUUGAAUUAAGGUGUUAUUGGUUGCUUUGUCUGUACAGUUUGAGAUAAAGCACCCUUGAUUGGUUCAUGUCGAGCUUUAAGUGUCUUGAAGUCUCCAUUCUGGAUCAAGUUUGUCAUACAUGUACUGAUAUGCUUUGUCAUGCAUUUUGUUUCUUUAAAGAUUUCGAUCUUUUACUUGUGUGGUUAUUGCAGCACUAUGAGGGUGAUGUCGAGGAACUCUGUCUGGAUUUUACUGUAACUGAAGAAUCAUUUGGAAAAAGGCAAGUUAUUGAGCUUAAGCCUGAUGGGAAAGAUGUUACUGUGAUAAACAAGAACAAGAUGCAGUACAUUCAUGCAAUAGCUGAUUAUAAGCUUAACCGACAGGUUUAUAUUUCAUUCCUGUUCAAUUAAUGUUUUGAAGAUUAGAGUUAUUAUUACUCCUAUUGGUGAGAAGAAUUACCUUGUUUUCAAUGUUGAAUUGCAGAUAUUUCCCUUUUCAAAUGCGUUCUAUAGAGGGUUAACUGAUCUCAUCUCACCAUCUUGGCUAAAAUUAUUUAAUGCAGGUGAAUUUAAUCAGGUAAGGCCCUCUAUACAUGGAUUUGUUUAUUGUUCUAGUGAAUAUGACUGUAUGACUGCUGGGUGCAUUCUCUUUGGAUGGAUUCAUAUAAGAUAUGAUUCUCUUGUAAACUAAUCUGCCCUUUAAUCUUAUGCUUAAUAUAUUAAUCAUCUUAAACUUGUAAGUUAAGACCUAGUCCCUUUUCUCUUGAUUCCAAAAGUUUGAAGAAAAAAAAAUGGAGCAUCAUCUUUAUAGGUCUUACUUUCAUUCCAUCUUUGGUUUAGGUAGUUGGCUGAUAAGGUGACAUUUGGAAAUAGGGUUAAUCGUUUUAUUAGUCCCCUAAUUUUGACUGGAUUUGCAUUUGAGUACCUCAAUUUCCAAAAUGGUACUCGUGGUCCUUUAACUUGAGUUUCGUUUGGACAACUAGUCCCACCGUUACUUCUGUCAAUUUUUUCGUUAAAGUUAAGGGUAGAUGGGUCUUUUAGGUUGGUUUUAUUAUCCCCCUUCUACAACUUGCCUUCCCUCUGAAAUAGACCUUAGAGAGCCUGCCGCCAAAAACCUAAAGAACCAAAAAUUGCAAUCCGCUUCUGCAACUCACAUAUUGGUUGAGUAAAAGUUGGAAUCGUCAAGAUUGGAAGCUUGGAGAGCAGAUUACUUGCCUGCUUCGACGCCUUUCCUGGCCUAGCCGCCGACCCGUCCGCCACUCCGACGGUCUGGGCAUCAUGGCAAAUGAAGUGAGUGUCUUCGCCCAGGGGUUUUUCCUGGUUCUCUUUGAAACUGAAAGUUAGAAGACCAUAAGCACCAUAACCACCAUGGCUGUAGGUUGUAGGCUCUAGUGGUGGUUCCAGUGUUCCUUUCAAUUGAUAACUUUUUGUAUUGUUCUAGGUUAGUAGGAGAAGCCAACACACAUGCGACAACAAUUUCUUAUAAUGAAUUAUGGAUUUAGAGGCACUUUUAUUCCAAACCAGUAAUGGUAAUAUGUGGAAAGGUAAUAUGGGGUCUGUGUUUGCUUCUUUAAUGGGCUAAUCAGGUGACUAAAACCGUUGAACAAAUGCUUAAAAACAUUUCCCCAUAAUGGUAAUUCCCCGUAAGAAACACCCACGCACAUACUCCUCUCUCUGUCUUUCUAUUUUGCUGCGUUUGGUUUGAAAUGUUGAGGCUUGAACUGGUUUUGUGAAGUUGUUGCAGUGUUGGAUCUGGUUCUUUUAACCAGGCCUCAAAUGGGUUUGUGAGUUUUCUUAAAUUUGGAGUUUGAAGGUUUCCUGCUAAAUUUUCAAUUUUUAGUGUUGGCUCUGUUUUUAUGUGCUUAUACCUGAAAUGGGUUUUUGAGCAUUUCAAUGCUGAGAUCUAAUUUCUGCAGAUUUACUGGACACAGUGAGGUUCAAGAUUUUGUGAGUUGGAUUUGAUAACCUACUUUUGUACUUCAUAACAGUUCAGUUGAGACUGAGAGGUUAAAGCAAAAAUGGCUCCAAGCUUGGAUUUUUCCAGGUGGUGGGCAAAGGGCAAUACAAGUAAGGGUAAUCCAGUGGUGGUGACCAUGGAGAACUCCAAUUACUCUGUGCUGGAGAUGAAAGUCUUUUUUGUCCCUCAAAACCAACCUGAAAAGACCCAUCUACCCCUAAAUUUACCAAAAAAAUUGACAGAAGUAACGGUGGGACUAGUUGUCCAAGCGAAACUAAAGUUAAAGGACCGCGGGUACCAUUUUGGAAAUUGAGGUACUCAAAUGCAAAUCUGGUCAAAGUUGGGGGACUAAUAAAACGAUUAACCCUUUGGAAAUAAUACCAUUUAAAAACAGUAGCAAAAUUAUUCCUCUAAUAGGGAGAAAUUGCAGCGGAAAAAAAAAAACUUUGAAAUUCGAAUGAUGAGACCGGGAGAGUUAAAAUAUAAGUGUCGCCUUAACUAAAUGAUCCUUUUUAGAGCUAUCUAUCUUAAGUUUUUCUUCUUGUGAAAUAAUCUGACGCAGCACAAGAAACAAAGGUUUCAAGCGAAACCGUGAGUAACAAUAAAAACUGGAUUCCACCAGAAAAUUAAGAGAAGCUCUCUUGGAAUAAUGUUAUUAAAAACUGAGUUACUAGAAAUGUUAGACAAACCUGUCUAAAUACUCAAUUCAACCCUCAACCCUUCAACUGCUAGGGGAGUUAUUACAUAAAACUGAAAAAACAGGAUUAAUUUGGAGUCUUAAUAACGUAACUCCUAAACUGUCCAAAACAGAAUUUAUUGGAAAAUUGACUACCAAACUUUAACUGCAGUUUUGGAAGGCCAAACGACCUCAGAAUGCCAAAAUCCAUCAUAUGUCACGGCAAAGCGGUGAGUUACACUCGUGGCGUCGUUCCCUUUCCGAAAUGGUAUUUUGCGUCCUAAUCAGAGCUUGGACGACAAAACUGCAUAUUCCCACUACGUCCUUUUUCUAGCUCAACCGCGAUAAAAUCUGCCAUCUGUUCUACAUCAUAAUCAUAAUUCAUGUCUUGAUUUUUUCCCCUUGAAAUAUUUUAAUAAUAACAAUGUACUUGGUCAUGAUGGGCCAGUAUUAUGAUUCAUCAAGUCCUCCAAAUACUUUUCCUUUAAGAGUGCUGACUUUGAUGCACAUGAAUUCAGUUAGUUGUCAAAUACUGAUCUAUAACUACCAUAUACAGUUGCUUUCAGGUGGAAACCAUGACAUUGAUGUUGAUGAUUUAAGAAAGAAUACAAGGUACACUGGCGGUUACUCUGAUGGGAACCGGACGAUUAAAAUCUUUUGGGAGGUAUUGACUAUUCUAUGGUGGUUGAAUGAGCUUAUGUUUUGUAUAAUUAGGUGUUCCUAAUUUUAAUUUCUCCAAGAUGGUUCUCGUAAAAUACUGACCUGUUCCUUUUUCAAUGAUUUGAUUUGGAUUCUGUAUUUCCUGCCUAUUUUCUGUUAAACAUCCCAGACCAAAUAUGCUCAUAUAAAAGUAUUCUGCUCUCUCUCUCUCUCUCUCUCUCUAGAAAAUCUCAGUGCUGAUUCAUGUCUGACUUUCACCAGAAGAGGAACAGCCAACUUUCAUCAUUUUCUGAUUUUUCAAUUUAUUCUGUAUCAUGUGGCAUAUUUAAUUUUGGUAUUUCGUUUGUAUCUUGUCUUAUAGAUGCGCAUUUUGAUUUAGGAUACCUAUGAUCUUUUUAAAUUUUAUUGAGUUUCUUCCAACCAUUAUCACAGGUACUCAAAGGAUUUGAACCUAGUGAACGUUGUAUGCUUCUAAAAUUCGUAACCAGUUGUUCUCGAGCUCCAUUACUUGGAUUUAAACAUUUGCAACCGAUGUUUACAAUCCAUAAGGUAUGUAAUUGAUCUUACAACUACGUGUAUGUAUCUAGUAUGCAAUUACUCAGGAAUUUGGUCUUAUAUAGGUUGCAUGCGAUAUCCCUCUUUGGGCAGCAAUGAAAGGAGAGGAUGUUGAGCGGCUUCCAUCAGCGUCAACUUGCUAUAAUACUCUGAAGGUACAAUAAAUGGAAAAUGCCCUCCUACCCCUUUCUAAUUUUUCAAUAACAUUGCAAUAGUAGAGUUCAGAACAGAUACCAGACUAUCAAUUACAUCUGCUGCUACUGAUGCUCAUUUUAAUUUUUUCGGUUUGAAACCGCACUUAUGAUUUCAUUCUCUGUGAUGUUUGCAGCUUCCAACUUACAAACGUCCGAGCACUUUGAGAGCAAAACUUCUAUAUGCAAUCAGUUCCAAUGCAGGAUUUGAACUUUCUUAAGGAUCCCCUUCAGGUUAUGCAUUUUACUUGUCUUACUGAACCCUUAAUGUUAAUUCUAUUUUGUAACAGUAUUUCUCACCUGCUACAUACUGAAAGCAAGAUGGAUUUUGAGCGUCCUUGAUUGCAUGGAUUUUUAAACAAUAAAAUUAUUACAGAUGAGCUAUUAUAGAAAGGGUUAAACCAAGAUACUUUAUAUCAUCCACUAAGAUGGUAAUUUCCACCUAUAGUUUGACAUAUUAGAUUUUUUUAUCUUUUCAUGUAUAAAAAAUAUUUGGCAAAUCAUUAAGAAAGCAUAUUCAAUAACUUCAGGCUUGUGCGUGCAAUAUUAAUUUUACUAACUUGGACCAGUUUAGAGAACUGGGCCAUGAUCUUACUUAAAUGAUCUCAUAACACAAAGGAUUGAAACACGUAUAGCUUAGGAGACUUCAGACUAUGAGGAAACUAAAUUCUGGAACUAAACCACUAAAUACCUAUUUUUUAUAUCAUAAUAUUUAUAAGAUAAAGAGAGUGCAGUAGUCUUAGCUUAUGCCACUGGGGAUAUAGAUUCAAGAUAUGAGGUCAAAACCCUGCUGAAGUAUAUUGCCAGCCAAGACCUCGUUGGCAGCUUCAGAGGGAUGGAAGCCAUCCCAAAACACAUAACCAGUUGCAUUGGUACAUGUUCCUACAGACCUAGAGUUGCAAAGCUUAGAGGUUUCCAAUCUACCUGUUCCACAACAAGCUCUUCUCGACUCAAAGAACCCUGUCAGAUAUUGGAAUUUGGUUAUCAAGCAAUAAACGUAAUAAUCAAUCCCAUACAUAUUCGAACUAUCUAAUCUAAACUAACACAACAAACGCCAAACAAAAGCAAUAGAGAGAAUCUUUCUAUUGAUGCUAAAAACAACUGUUUUUUCGUAACUAGUAUGGUGGUUCUUCUUGUUGCCCUUUUUUGUUUUUGUGUUUUUCACAUUGAUCAACUAUUGAACAGAGGUGCUUUACCAUUAUCACCAGGGUUUGUGAUCAUAUCCAGGACAGGCUGGAAGAUAUCAAACACUACAAGCUUGAGACCAGGGAGUCUGCUCUUCAAAAUUUGAGAUGUGUUGUUUAGCUUAUUGUUGAAUGAAAUGGCAUCUUGGUUUAACCUUGGGAUGCACUGGUUUCUUCCUAAGCCAAAUAGGGUGAUUGCUGCUGGCAAACACCCAGUUGGUGGUAAGCUUAUGACUCCAAUCCUUCGCACUCCCAGUCCAUACAAGUUCUGCCACAGUAAUGCUUAUGUCAUGAGAGUGUAUAUGAAGAAACAGAUGCAGAAUGAUGUCCAAUUACUUUGCUGUAUCAAACAUGAUUGAAUUUUCUAUUUAAAUUCAAGGUCACCAUUACGACACCUUUUCCCCCAUAUCGCACCCUUACUGAAGCUUUCAAUUUAACUUCACCAUAGGUAGCUGCGAAUCGUCAUGCAAUCUAGAACUAUAUGAUCACUGUACAUUUAUUUGGGUUCAGGUUUGUGUUAUGCGCAAUUGCAAUUUCUAGUUUUAGGUUUAGGUUUGGCUUUCGUCAGCAAACAUCAAUCAGCUAUGAGAUUAUUUCUUACUUUUUGGGUCGUGUGUGUGUGGUGCUGUAUAUAAAAAGUUAAGAUAAGGGGAAAACAUGCAGCAUGCAUAAUCUGAGUUUGGAGUGACCUGAAUGAAAGUGGAGUAGGAUAUCAUGAGAAUGUCUGAGAAUUGGUCAGGUGAGUAGACUCUAAGAAGGGGAUUGAUGUAAUAGUUUUGAAUGAAAUCACUGGUCCCUGCACUUAGAAGGUGAAUGGCUCCAGAGAAUAUGUCAUUGGCUUUAGCUCUUCCCACCAUACUCACCACUUCAUUUUGAUAUUCCCUGUAGUUAUUCAGCUGCCGGGUCAGCGAAAUGGCACCCUACAAAACCAAAGAUGGAUCAUAUCAUAUCAUUCAUUAUACAUCAUGCAAAGUGCCGUGUCUGGAACAAAUAGUUUCCUUUGCUAUCAGACAUGAUUUUUUGAAAGCUGUCCCUUAUAUGAUCCUUUGCUAUAUAUAUAAUUUUUAUUAUUAUUGCAGUACAUCUAUAAUCAGAGAAAUCAUCAAUGCAAGGAAAUUAUGACCCACCACUAACAUUUUUCAGUGAAGCAUUCAUGAGGUCAUCCUCUUUGUCAUCAUAGGUGAGGCACUGAGAUAUUGUAGCAAAUUCUAACAUGGGUUAUUCUAUAGGCCCUGAGAUGAGGCCUUAUCGCUUAACCAUUAGAUCAAACUAACAAAUUUAAUUCAAUGGCAUAGCUAAGAGAUAGAGCCUCGUCUAAGGGCCUUGAAUAUAAGGCCUUACUAUAAAAUUCUACCAUAUAUAUAUAUAUAUAUAUGUACGAUACAUUGUAGCAAAUUUACUUGAAAGCAGUUUAUGAUUUUAUGAGGAAUGGCCAGUCAGUUGAGUAAAUGGACCUUGUGAUGGCCCGCCUCAAAGGCCAGCACUUUACACACUUAGACUAAAUUGUUACUUUCUUUAUUCCUCCUGCCUAAUUGAUAGUUCAUCACUGAGGCCUAUUUUCAUAGACAGUUCAUCUGGGGUUUCUGUUAUUAUUAUUAUUUGUUAAUUUAGCGCUUAGUGUGUGUUUUUUGAAAGCGUUUAGCCGCGCGGCUAUAUUCUAUAAAUAGAAUAUUACAAUAGUAUAGCCGCGUGGCUAUUCUCAUUGAAUAGCAUAACCUGAAUUUAUCUUUUUUAAUUACUUUAAUUAGUAGUUAUGUUUUAAUUAUUACUUAGUGAAUAAUUAGUAUUUCAAUAUUUUAAUAUAUUUUAUUUUGAUUCAGUAAUAUGUGAGUAUUUUGUGAAUAAUAUGUGAAUUUUGCAUGUAUAAUUUUGUAAAAAAUAAGUGUAUUAAACAAUAAAGACUCGGGUAAUGGCCUAAUAGUAAUGGAUAAUGCUCUAAACUACUCUUAUUGAUAAACAAAAAUCGGGAAAAAAAUAAUUAUAAAAAAUAUAUAUCACAGUAUCUAUGUAAAGAGCAUAGCCAUUUAUUUAAAAAAAAAUUUAAAUAAACUACCACAAUACAGCCGCACGGCUAUACAUGUUUUUAUAAAUAAAAAAUAACGUAUAGCCGCGCGGCUAUACAAUUUAUUUAUUUUUUUAAAAGGGCCCGCGUAGCGCUGAGCGCGUGUUUUGGUGGAAAGAGUAUAGCCGUGCGGCUAUACUCUAUAAAAAAGAAUAUUACAAACGUCUAGCCAGCACGGCUAUAUCCAUUGAAUAGCAUCGUCUAAAUUUAUUUUUUUAAUUACUUUAAUUAAUAGUUAUGUUUUAAUUAUUAUUUACUUAGUGAAUAAUUAGUAUUUAAAUAUUUUAAUUCAAUAAUUCCUCCGACUGACACCCCGCCGAUCCAGCCCAAACCCAUCGCCACCGCCGCUCUCCUCUCCAACACAACCAAACUUCACCUCGCCCAGAUUACUGCGAGUUGAGUCGCUCGAGUUGCCGCUUUCAUUUUCAACUUACCCAACUUCAGCAGAGAUGAAAAUUCGGCAGCAAAUAUUACCAAAAAGAAAAAAAAAGAAAGAAGGGCAGCAACAUCUCCUUUCAAGAUGCCAAGAUGGACAAUUCAAAAUGCAAAUUUCAAAACAAAUGUCCGGUAUUAUCAAACCAAUUAGCACGAAUUUGAAAUUUUAGUCAAAUUAAAAGGCUCGAAUUCAAAUUUCAGAUACAUAUCAAGACACCCAUGGAUCUGGUGAAGGGGGAGAUCCAGUGUUGGGAUGUGUUAGAUAGGAGAGAGAGAGAGAGAGAGAGAGAGAGAGAGAAAGAGAGAGAGAGGGGCUGGGGCUGUGCUUUUUCGAGGGAAGAGAGAGAGGAGCGGGGUUUGAGACAGAGAGCACACCCAACCCACAUGUGAGACAGAGAGAAAGAGAGAGGUGCUGCAGGGAUGGGUGUGGAGUGUCAAGGCUCAGAGGAUGGGAGUGGCGCUGGCUUUUGUGAUUUACUCUGUUUUUUUUCUUCUUCUUCUUCAAUUCUCUGGUUGUUCGUUCAUGUUUUUUUUUUUUUUUUUUUCCGUAUCUCUCUCUCAAAUCUGUGCGAUUUGGGGAGUUCAAUUUUUCUUACCUUCUUUUAAUAUUCUUUUAUUAAAAUUUGUUUAUUGUUUAAGUUUUUAAAUACUUUUAAAUAUUUUAUUAAUAUAUUAUUGAAUGUGUGGCCCAAUGUGUAAAGAGUCUAGCCGGACGGCUAUACUAAAAAGACCUUUAAAAAUGGAAAAAUCCGGUGUAUAGCCACGCGGCUAUACUAUUUAUAAAUAAAUAAAAAGAGAGUAUAGCCGAGCGGCUAUACUAUCUAUAAAUAUUAUAUUUCGGGUUUAGGGUUUGUAGAAUGUUUUAAAGAGUAUAGCCGCACGGCUAUACUCAUUGAAUAUCAUAAUCUAAAUUUCUCUUUUUUAAUUACUUUAAUUAAUAGUUAUGUUUUAAUUAUUAUUUACUUAGUGAAUAAUUAGUAUUUAAAUAUUUUAAUUCAAUAAUAUAUGAGUAUUUUGUGAAUUUUAUGUGUAUUAUUGAAAAGUUUGUAAACAAUAAGUGUAUUAAACAUGAAAAAUACAUAUGUACGCGUACAAUACAAUAUUAAACGUGAAAAUGCUAAAUUCUUUAUAUGGGUAAUAACUCUGGAAAAGUAAAUACUCAAAAAGGAACAAUAGAGAUUUGGGUAAUAGCCUAAUAGUAAUGGAUAAUAAUUUAAACUACUCUUAUUGAUAAACAAGAUUUGGGAAAUAACACUUAGAAAGAAAAGAUUGUAGUAUCUAUGUGAAAAUGAAUUUCAACAAAAGACCCCAGUAAAGCCGGGCGGCCAUACUGUUGUUAUUAAAAAGAAAAUCCGGAGUAUAGCCGCGCGGCUACACUAUUUAAUAUUUAUAUAAAUUUACUAUAAAUAAAAGAGGACCCGCCCAUGAACAGUUUUUUCUCGUUGUGCAGGACGUUCGGAUGGGCCGUCGACCAGCAAAGCGGGCCUGGUUAUGGCCUAAUGGCCAUUAUGAGAAGUAACUUGAAUUCCUCUCCUCAUCAUUAAAAUAAAAUAAAAAAAGCAUUAAAAAGUAUGUUACAAAUCAAUGUUCUAAUAUUGCCUUCAACUAUAUACAUGUAUUUUUGCAACCUAUCCUUUAUAUCUAGAUAAAUCUUUCUCAACUAGAUGGUAAAAUAUCUUAGUUUUAUUCAUUCAGCUGGCUAAGGAUUUUGAAAUCAAAGACUUGGGUAUCCUGAGAUAUUUUCUAGGGAUUGAAGUGGCUCAUUCAAAAUAGGGAAUCUUUGUUUCACAAAGAAAAUAUGUGCUAGAUCUUUUAAUUGAAACAGGGAUGCUAGCUUGCAAGCCUGUGCACACUCCAAUAGAACAAAAUCAUAGAUUAGGUGAACAGACUGAUGAAACCCAUGUUGACAAGGAGAGAUAUUAGAGAUUGGUAGGAAAAUUGAUUUAUUUGGCUUAUACACGACCAUAUAUAGCCUAUGCAGUGAGUGUUGUUAGUCAGUUUAUGCACUUUUUACGAGCCACGAGAAGUUCACAUGCAUGCAGUUGAAAGAAUAUUUAGAUACUUGAAAUCAGCACAUGGUAAGGGUCUUUUAUUUUCCAAACCUGAUCAUUUUAGAGUUGAAGCCUACACAAAUAUAGAUUGGGCUGGUUCUAUAUCGAAGAUCCACUACAUGGUAUUGCACAAUUGUGGGUGGUGACUUAGUGACAUGGCGAAGUAAGAAGUAGUCGGUUGUUGCUACGUCCAGUGCUGAAGCAGAAUUCAGGGCCAAGGACCAUGGUGUGUGUGAAUUACUUUGGUUGAUGAUUUUGCUAAUAGAUUUGAAGAUUGCGUAUAAGGACCUUAUGUUGUGAUAAUAAGGCAGCCAUCACCAUUGUUCAUAACCCAAUUCAACAUGAUAGGACUAAACAUGUUGAGAUUGACAGACACUUUAUUAAGGAGAAAAUGACAGAAGGUGUGAUUUGCACCCCAUAUGUGAGAAGCGAGGAUCAACUUGCUGAUAUUCUAACUAAACUAAGGGAGUCUCCAGCAAAGUCUUUGAGUCUACUCUGCCAAACUGGGAAUCCAAGAUAUCUGUUCUCCAGGUUGAGGGGGAGUGUUAACUGUCUGAAUAUAGUAUAGUUGACCUCGGGUGAUUAGCCUUGCAAUUAGAUGUAAUUAGCUAAUUUCUAGUUGUCGACUUUAGGCUUAAUUACUUUCCCUGUACAUGAUAUCUUGUAUGCUAUUUAUUUUCUCUUUGUAGAGAAGAAUAAUACAGCCAAAUAUUAUAUUCCUUUGUCUCUAGUAAGUUUCUACAGCAAGGACUUCGGGAAAGGAAUGUGAAUUUGACCUACUAAAUGAAAUAGUUGCUUUUCCAAAUAAACAGCGAAAGAGAACAUGAUUUGCUUUGUGCGCGAAGUAACACAUUUUACAAAUCUACCAUCAGAAUUCUUAAUAAUCAUCCAUUUGCCAGCGGAGAUUUACCUUGAGGAUCCCCGUCAUUACAAACACUUGGAUGAAACUGACAGGUACCAACAAUCAGACUUUCACGUUGCUAUGGGGCGAAGCUUGUGUUGCGUUUCCCAUCACGUUUUAAUGAGCAGAGAAGGGAGACACUUUGGGUCAGUUUGAUACUAAUUUAUUAUUAUACAUAUUGAAGGAGAAAGUACGAUAUUUUCAUUGUGGGUGUGUGUUCGUGUAACAUGAGAUUUUUGUUCCUACUGAGUUGUGUUUUCAAUCACCAUUUUAUAGGUUUAAAAACUAUGUUAUUGUGUUUCGUUAUAAUACUGAUGCCAGAAAUGAGUAUAUACUUAACUUAGUAUUAUUUAUAACCCUAGUGAUAAAGGGAUUGCCAUAAAAUGUAGGGGUGUGCAUGGGUUCAAAUCAAUUCGUAUCCGAGCCAAUAUAUAUUGGAUUAUGAAUUUUUUCAAUCCAAUCCGAUCUAAUCCAAUUGAUAUUAGAUUAGAUUGAAUGAUCGGUUUUCAUUAUGAAAAAGGAUAAUAGUGAAAUAUUUAUCGUCAUGUUUAAUAUAAUCAAAUAUUUUACUAUAUGUAAAUGUAUAAUAUAAAUAAAAUGCUAGAGAAAUUUUUUAUAUUCUAUAAUAUACUAAACCUAAUUCCAUCAAAUGACUUAAAUGUGCAUAACUUUCUUAAUCACAAUUACCUACAUUAGCAAAACAAGCAUGAAACUAAUUGAACUGGAUUGGAUUUGAACAAGCAAAUUCAUCAUCCAAUCCAAUCAUGUCGGUAUUGGAAGUAAGAGAUCCAAUCCAAUUUGCCAAAUCAUUGAAAACCAAUUAAAAUUGAAUCGGUCAGUUGCAUCUUGCACACCCCUAAUAAAAUGGUAAAGAAAAUUCUCAAAAUACCACUAUUUGAUAGGAACCACAAAGUAUUGCCAUAAAAUUCGCAUAGUUGACUAACUUAUUUUAUCUCUGGUUGAGUUCUUUCGCAAAAGAAAAAACUUAUUUUUGCCAUCAUUGGGGACAAUUCUCUUGCUUGUACAGCCUCGCCGCAAUAGACGUAAUGGCAUAAUUUAGGCUAUCAGGAAGAGAGUUGUAUUGUACCCAAUAUGAACUGGUUUCAGCCUUUGCAAGGCAUAUGAGCAGCAAUCUCACGUCUUUGUUUUUCACGGUAUUACUCGCACAAAAAUAAAAAUGAAAAGAGAAUAGGAUUGAGCUUAUAGAAAAACAGAACAAUAAUUCUACCGAAAUAGUUUUACCAAAGUCAAAAGAUAAAUAUUAAGGAGAUUUCAAGCUAAAAGAGAAGACAAUGAAAUGCUCAACUUCCUUCCAAUAGUAAAGUCACAUUCUCUUAAUUGCCUUCAAUACUCUUUUUUUCUACUUGCUAAUGAGUCAUGAACACCGCUUUUCUCAUUCAAAA
rnacentral:lncRNA from 1 species